UUUACUUAAAAAGUUACAUGAAUCUCUCUUUUUUUAGUUUAGUGACAGCUCAUCAAAAUGAAAACAGAUUCGGUUUCCUGGUAACAUUAAUGUUUCUACCGGCCAAAAUGAUAUAAAUAUGAAUGCGGUUCAUUUCCAUCUCAAACACAAUCACGAAACAAAUUUUCCUGAUAAUGAUUCUACAAAAUUGUAGAAUAACUAAAUCUUGAGACAAAAAAAAAAAAACACUAAAUAUUUUAGUGGAGAACACCUCUACUGGCAACCAUUCUACUAGUAAUCUGGCCCUCCAAGAUGAUCAUCACUCGCUGUUGUCUUGUUAAGAAAAUAAACACUAGUCAUUGUAGUUUGAAAUUGUAAUCAAUGAUCUUUCCGGAUAUCCUGAUCGUACUCCAGAUGCUUGGAUUUGGUGUAUAUCACGAGGCCAAUUGUCCUGAUCAACUGCUUGACUCAUCGCAUGUAGCCUCAUCUAGAGAUGCCGCGAGGUACUCAGCAAGGCUCUGCUGAUUAUUGCUAGGUUUGUGGGUAGCUUCUGAGGUCACAGAUUUUUUUGGUGCUGUAGAAUUGGGAAGCCAGGCUUGACCUGUUGAGUUGCUGCUCGAAGCAUCUGAGCAACUCUUCCAUAUGACUGGCUUAAGAUACUUCCAUGGAUCAUCAGCCAUGGAAUUGGAGUAAUAUCGUUCUGCCCCUAGUUCCGUGGGUCUUCUUCCUCCAUCUCUACCAAAGCUUGUGUUCAUACCGCGUCCUCGACCUCCGCCUCUUCCUGAGUUAGGAUAUGUGUUUCCAACCCAGUUUGCAUUUUGUCGUCCAUAAUUGGAAAAAUGUGGAGCAGUAUUGUUGUAGCUGCCUCGAUCACCAAAUCUAUUAUUCCCCAUGUUCGGAAUUUCUUGAGAAAAUGGAAAAGGGCGAGGUACCCAUUGAGGUGGACCUGGAUGGUUGACUGGUGGAGGCCUAAAAUUGUUAUUCCAACUGGCGGGUGAACCUCUGUAUGGGGGUGAAAGAUGUGACAUCCCUCUUGGUUCAUAAUGAGCUGCUUGAAAGCCACCAUGAUUGGUAUGUGCCUGAUACUCACUACCUAACGACCCUGUUCAAAAUUAUAUAUAAUGCAAGGAUCAGAACUGGAUUACUGUUCAUUGCAAGACGCAGGACACAAACAUAAACGAAUUUGUGAUUAUAAUACUGCCAAUUCCAAGAAAGUGAAACAUAAAGAGAUAUAUCAAAUUAAGGUAGCUAAAGCUAAUAAGUUCGGAGCCUAAUCCCUGCUGAACAGAGGCAAAUUUCUUCCUUCAUUGAUCUUGAUUUGUCGAUUAUAGUCAAGGAGACAUGACUAAACCCAAACAAAGAACGAAAUAUCCUACAUAUUUGUUGAAGAGAUCACCUGACUCUGGGAAAGCCCAACAACCAAGUACCAAAAGUUAAUUCCUGAAUCUGUUCAAUCCUAUACUUAUACUCACCAAGGACCAACUAACAUGCUAAUACACUAUAAGGUAUUAGGCAAUAUUCUUUAUCAGUGAACUACUUUCUUUGGCCUCACAUGGAUAUUGUGAAAAUGAAAAUUAAGACAGAAUCAUUGACUAUCAAGGCAGAAACAAGUACCUGGAGGAACUGAUGGAGGAAACUGUGGCGGGACAGGAGAGCUUGCUUGAUGACUAGGAGAUGAGAUGUAUUGUUGCUUAGGGGUCUUGAUUUUCUUGAAACUAGAAUAAGCAGACAUGGGGUCGGUAUAAUAAUCAAACCUUGAUGUUUCAAAUGAAUCCUGGUGUUGGGUGGAAGUCUCUGCCAAGGGAUUGGAGAGGUGACCUGUGUUCAUAGAUGUUUCAGGAUCUGUAGUAGAAUCAUCAUUAUCAUUCUGUGCAGCAGCUUCCAUUCGCAUUGCUUUUAACAUUUGUUUUCUCUUCUCUGAAUCUUCCAUUGUGAUUCAGCUAAAUCAACUACACAAGAUCACAAGGAAUCAUAGAAAACAAUCCAUCAAAUCCAAAAGAUGAGUGAUGCGAACAAUCUGACCCUAAACCCCAAAAAUUCUAAAAAUUAUCGGAUACCCAAAUUGGGAAACUAAAAUUACGAGUGAUGCUAACCUUCACAAGGUACGAUCUUCCCCAAAAAUCUUCACUUUCUCGUCGCCAAAAGUCGAAUAAAAACCCUGAAGUGAAACAACGAUGAUGACAAAAGCCUUAACUACGUAAACGAAACCUUCCAAAACCCGGUUUGUGUUCGACAGUAUUUUUCAAUUAAACCCGGUUUACAGCGAUUGAAAUCGUUAAACCGACCCGGAAAUUUUUCCAAUAGAACCUGCGACGAAAGCAAAACUCUCUCUCGAUCGACGCCGCAACGUGCUCCAUUCAGGUGAUCUACUUCUUCUUCUCCUCGAUCACGCUUUUUCUUUCCCCGAUCGAUCUAGUGUUUUGUCUUAACUGUAUUCGGAAUUUCUGAUCAGAUUUAACACUCUCGCAUCUCUCACAUUCGUCGGAGAAGAAUGCACGGUCGUCCAAGGAAGGCUUCUAAGCCAGAAGAGGAAGCAGCUUCAGCUGCUAAAGCGGUUAAGCUUCGGUCUCUCCAGUCUCAGUUUAUGACGAAUCAUCACGAUAAAAUGUACAAUCUUCUCUUUCAUUUCCAUCGGAUCAGUUUAGUUUUUUUCCAGAAUUUUAGUACGAUUUACAGGAUCCGUUGUUGAUUUACUAAUCAUCUGUUGAUUCAUGGAUGUUCUGGGAUUUUUGUUUUGUAGUUAUACCAAGGAAGCUAUUGAGUUAAGUACGAAGCUUCUCGAAAUCAAUCCAGAGGCGUACACGGCUUGGAACUACCGGAAGCUUGCUGUGGAGGAUACCCUUUCCAGAAUUGAGUCUGAUCCAAACUUGGUCAACUCAAUUUUUGAUGAAGAACUCAGAGUGGUGAGUUUUCCUGUCAAUAAAAAGAAUAAAAGAAACAAAUUUGCUCUUUAUGGAACGUAGUGAUUACUGUGAAUUCGGUUCUAUGUUCAGGUAGAAAAUGCUUUGAGGCAGAAUUUCAAGUCAUAUGGUGCGUGGCAUCAUCGAAAGUGGGUUUUGAGUAAAGGGCAUUCCUCCAUAGGGAAUGAAUUGAAACUUUUGGAUAAAUUCCAGAGGCUGGAUUCCAGAAAUUUUCAUGCUUGGAACUAUCGCAGGUGAAAAUUAGGGAAUGUCAACACUUUUUGUAAGGCGCAUGCAUUGUGUAUGUUAAUCAAGUUUGCAUAUUUAUGUGUUGUCCCUUUCCAGGUUUGUUGUAGAGCUAACCAAGAGGUCAGAACAGGAUGAGUUGCAGUAUACAGAUGAUAUGAUCAAUAACAAUUUCAGCAACUAUUCUGCAUGGCAUAAUCGUAGGUAUGUAUAUUCUUUAGUAAAUAUUAUCUGUAUACUUUGCUGAUUUACAUGUUCAGAAAUACUUUUUUGCUUUUUUUUUUAAGAAACGGAAGCAUUUGUGGACUAGAUUGAUAGGCACGUGACCCGAACCAAAGUAAUUAAUAGUACUAAAUGGGAGGUCAUUCAUGGAGGGAUGCAAUUUGCUCAUGAACUAUAAGAAGUUUUCUUCUAUGGAACUUAUUCAUUUUUGGGUUGUAUGGCUUCUUUACUAUUUGGUUGAUAUCAGCACUACAUAUUUAAAAAAUAUUAACAAAAGCUAAGGUUUAGUUAAGCUAUACCUUCUAGAUUCAGUCAACAUCGUUACAUCGCAAAGGAGUUUAACCGCACAUCAGCAUAUUUAAAUGUCUGAAUCGUUGAAAAAAAAAUGUCUGAAUCAGUGGCUCCAUUAACUAACAAUAUGUCUUUGUUUAUUGUUCAAAUUCUGCAGUGUACUUCUAUCAAGUUUGCUUGCACAAAAUGCUGAUGGGUUUAUGCCAAAUGAAAAGAUUCCUGAUGAAUAUGACUUUGUACAUUCAGCUAUUUUUACGGACCCAGAUGACCAAAGUGGCUGGUUUUAUCAUCUUUGGCUUCUUGAUCAAACUCUUAAUGUGGAGACUCCUCUUCUCACUUCUGCAUGGCCUUCCCAUGGUUCAACUAUCAUUCUAUCUGGAGCUGGGUGCUUGAAUAGCUCUUCUUCUAAGUUCACUACUUUUUGUUCUGAGUCGGGUUCUUUUCCACUGAUUCUCUACUCUGACCAAGCUGUUGGUGGAGUAAGCUCAUCUACUGUUACAAUUGAUUCUGAACUAAAAGGAAACGAGGACCUGGUUUGGGAACCGAUUUCGAAUAAAAAUUCUCAGGUGUCCUGUGUAUGGGUUACUCAUCUGAAAUAUGUCAGUUCAGAUCCUUGCGAAUACAAAGUGAAGAUCAGAGUUGGGAACUCUCCAGGAAUCAUUUCUUCCAGAGGAUAUAACUUCAGCGCACCUUACGAGUUUGUCUUUACAGCCCAUGUUCAUGAUACCGUCGAAGAUUCUCAAGAAGGCAUUGUUUCAUGGACAGAUGGUUUUGAUAUUUGGGAUGCGAAGUCAAAGGAUUUGAAAUCUCUUGUCACCUUGGAUCGGUUAGAGGCUGAGAUAGAUUUUGAAUGGCGUCAGGAAGCUAUAGAUUCUGAGGUUGAAUGUUUCGGUAUACUGGCUGACAGGUAUAUCCUAUGUACUUUCUCUCUUUGAUUGGAAAGAGAAAUUGCAGUCUUAAACGUUGUGUUCUUUUUUCCUUUAUAGCAAAAUUGGAAAGCUCACUCUUGCAAGGCUUUUGAUGGCUCGUGAAGUUAUGGUAUCGGAUGAUGCUGUUAAGGGUGUUCGCUAUGAAGAAAUCCUCCAGCUGUAUAACGAGUUGAUGGCGCUGGAUUCUUCACAUUACCAGUACUACAAGGAUGAGCACAGCGUAGCUUUUCUCCACAAGGUACUUAGCCUUCCUUUUUGCUGUGAAUCUCAAGUUGAACUUCUGCUCUUAAAAAUUUCAUCGGAUUUAUGAUUUUCCCCAAUUCUCGUUUACAGUAUAAGGUUGAUUUUUUGAUUCUAGAUUUUUUUCUUAAUUCUGUUUCACCAUGCCUACUACUCAUAAAGAGAAUGUUAAUGCAGGUGACUUCAAGCAGUGAAUCCUUGUCAAGACACCUCUUUCGAUAUAGGGGUAUGAACAAUCUUGUAUGUCUACGGCUGAAUAACUUAUCACUAUCUCGGAUAGCCUCUGUUAAGAAGUUGCUGUUUGUCCAAAUGUUAGACCUAAGUCACAAUGAGCUUCAUUCAACUGAAGGUAAGUUUCUCGAUUUCAGUUGUUGCAUCUGUGUGGUAGAUGUGACUAAAUGGUGUAUGUGGGUCUUGCAGGAUUAGAGGCAAUGCAACUUCUCUGUUGCCUAAAUCUGAGUCACAACAGAAUCCGGAGUUUUUCAGCGCUGGACUCUCUAAGACAUGUGAAGCAGCUGAAAGUGUUGGAUGUUUCACACAACCACAUUGGCAAGCACUCAGUGGACACAACCCGGUACCUUUGUUCUUCACCGCUCUCUAAUUCAGAGUGGAGUCAGGAUGGUGUAGGAAGACAGAAUCCUGGGUUGGUCACCAAAUACUGGGAUGCGUAUUUCGUCCUAAGAGAUUUGAAUCUGAAACAGUUAGAUAUAGCAGGAAAUGAAAUUUCAGGGGACGAAUUCAGCUCUUUUGUCCUCCAGGUUGUGCCAAAGCUUGUAUGGCUCGAUGGCCAGAAACUUGGGAAUUAGAUCAUAGGCCAAGUUUUUGUUUACUCUAUUUUUAGAUCAUCAAAUCCCCAAAGCAAUUUGGGUUCUCUUGAUGAUGUUUGUUGUUGUGAUACAUGUCUUAACAAUCUUAUUGAUGACCUUACACAAUUGACUGUGCACCUUUAUUUACCCAAAUUUUGGUUGAUAUUUUCUAGAAGUCUGAAUCUUUUUGUUCAAACUGAAUCUACCCAAAUAAAUUUAGGUUUUGAUUCGAUAACAUUUUGAAACCGAAUGUACACAAAUUAGCAACAUGUUAAGAUUUUUGUUUUCUCUGUUCCUUUUGUUUUACCAAUCAACUUUUGAUGACAUACAACAACAUACAAGGAUUGCAAAUUUACAACAAAUGCAACGGUCUCCAACCGCAAGAAACCAAAUCUCAUAAUUUUUCUUUAUUCAUAGUCUCGCAAGUAAGAGCAUAUAAAAACUAUACUAUACAAACAAAAACCAAAAAAAAGAAAAAAGAAAAAAAAAAAGCCUUCCAUUCUUCCAGGCAAGGCCUCUCGUCUCAUUGAUUUUUCUAAUUUAAAAUCAAAUUCAGGAGCUAAUCAACGCAAAGCACCUACAGUGUUUCUGUUAGUACCGUAAAAGUUAAGUAUUUUAACUAUAGAAUGGGAGCUCAUUUAGUUGGAAUUACCCCUUUGUCUCCACCCAUCUGGAUCAGCUGCACUGGAGACUUUAAUAGCUUCUUCAAUGUGUUCACUAUGCCGCUAAAUGCUGGCCGCUGAGCCGGCUCAUCUGCCCAGCAAGCUUCCAUUAGAGAUACCAAAACCGGAGAGGUAUUGGGAGGAAUUAUAAGCCGCCUGUUCUGGAACGCAACUGCUCCAACCACCUAAUCACCAGACCAAGAUAUAUUAUAACUAAAACUGGUAUUACUAUAACUCAUGUGUGAACACCAGUUUUGAAGAAUCAUAUGUUAUUUUGAAGAAGGGAGAGAAUGUUGGUUACCUGAGCAGGACUGAGUCCAUCCCAAGGCUGUUGCAAAGUAAUCAACUCCCAUAGAACUACUCCAAAACUGUAAACAUCUGAUUUCUCGUUUGUUGGCUCCCCUCUAAGAAACUCUGGAGCCAUCCACUCAGGCUGUUAAAACAGACCAAAGAGACGAAGUUUGACAUGUCAGAACAUAUUCUUCCAUAUCCACAGUAAUUAAAUCUUAAGAAAGCUUACUGUUCCUGCAACAGAUUUUGAUGGUAUGAAAGUGUUUGCCUUGAAUCUUGAAAGUCCAAAAUCGCAAACCUGAGACAGGAGCAAGGUCAAGUUUGAUAUGUUACAGAAACAGACGAUGGGAGGCUUUUGUAUCAAUACAGUGUUUUUUUUUUUUGGUUUAACAUCAUUACCUUCACUGUCCAGUUCUUAUCAACCAGUAGAUUUGGAGAUUUCAGGUCCCAAUGCACUACAGGAGGAUUAAGACAGUGUAGGUAGUUGAGCCCCUUGGCCUGUUCCAAGAAAAAACAAACAUUCUUUUUUAUAUAUGUUAAACUUAGAAAUAUAUCAAAACAUUAACAUAAUGGGAAAGACCACAAACCACAUCCAAUGCCAUACGUAGUCUCCUCCUCUGAUCUAGCAACUCCCCAGAAGCUGGCCUAUGGAUAAGGCGAAAAAGACUGCCCCUGUCUCAAGGAUUAAGAUGGAAACAUAAGCUACUUGGUACUGUAAGCGUUCAAAGAAAAAAAAAAAAACUAUGUAGAUGGAGGUUUACCUUGGCAAAUAUUCUGUUAUUAUUGAUAACCGGGGUCGCUCUGUCACAGCACCCAUGAAGAGAACAACAUUUGGGUGACGAACACGUUUCAUUAUUGCAACCUUCAAUCAAAAUCACAGGAUAUUUCAGAGUGGUUCCAAGUGAUCACAUGAAGAUAGUUUAAAAGAGAGAAAACCACUUGCUUACAUACCUCUCUGAGAAAUUCUCUGAAUUGGUCAUCAUGGAAAUCUUGAAUAGACAAAAUCUUGACAGCAACAUCCUUCACCAUAAACAAAAACGUAAUUAGCAUCUUGUGCUGAAAAAUCUACUCCAAGGUUAAAUGAUGAAAUGUUUUAGAGUUGAAACCUACUGAUCCAUGCCACUCAGCACGAUGAACAGUUCCAAAUGAUCCUGGAAAAAAUGUAGAGAAAAUUUUACAAAAAUCUCUCAAGAGACUUUUUUAUUAUGGUGCUACAUCAGAAACUCUUUUGUACAAUCAUAGGACAUACCAGCACCCACACGCUCUUUGAUAUGCAAUUCAUUCCAUGAGACCUCCAGCCAAUCUGAUGCCAAAGAAGGCUCAAUAGUCAAGUAAGGCGAGACAGCGUCAACAGGUAACCUUCCUUUUUUAUCUUUUCGAGUGUCAGCCUCUACUAUCUCUGGUUCAACUGAUAAGUUUGGCUGCUUGAUAGCUAUUUUUUCAAUUGGAUCUUCUAAUAAAACGGUUUCUUCUUUGGAGGUUUCUUGUGGUUGAAUCUUGUCUUCACUGAGGUUUGGUAUAUUAAGUGGUAGAGCUCGAAGAACAGAUUCUGGCAAAACCAUUGAUGAUGCUUUUGCGCAGCAAGUUUGAUCAACAUGAGCACAACAUAUUGUCGCUGCAUUAUCAGGCAACUCAAAUUCUUUGUGUACAUGGCCUUGACUCCCUAGAAGAAUUCAGUCAGCAGAUUGUAUUAAAAACUUCUUCCAUCUUUACCUCAACUAUAUACCGACAAUUUGUAUGAUAAUUGUAUUACAUAUUAUGCUAAGUGCAGCCUACCUGAACGUUGAAUGUUUUCAGAAAGAGCGCGUGAAGCCUUUGACUCUACAGUAUGACAAGGAGAUGUACUAUGCACGCAAGGCCUGGAAAAAUCUGUAAGAUGACUCAUUUGAAGGGGUGAAGGAAUCUGACACUGUGUUUCACCGUUGAUAGAGGAAUCCGGAUCAUGGACAUUUCCUGGUUCCCCGAUGAGGUCAACUACAUAUUCCCUGUUGAGAAAGAAUAUCAAGUAUUACUCAAAAUGUGAAACAUAAGCUCAAAACAACUCAAUGGUACUCCAGAGCUUUCAACUAUUUGUAAGCACAGAAUCAAGGACAUACACAAGUAAAACAUAAAGUAUCAAUACGUGUUUUAAAUAGGAGCAGGUAGGAACUUCCUAAAUACCAUGCCCUGAAAGUCCAUUGGUGGAGGCAUCAAAUAGUGUUUUGCUAACAACCUGAGAGUCUACUUAUGUAAACCCACUGAGCAAUCUGGCUGUAGUUAAGUAGACAUAGAUGGAAACAAAAAAUGGCAAAUGGGGAGGCUUAAAAGCUUUAGCGCUAUCAAACCUUGAAAGCUUCCUAUCAUCGUCAAUCUUGACAAGGCAAGAAGAUUGGUGGCUCUCUCUACAGUACCUGCAACCUCGAGCUAUCCGACAUGGUAAACCUAUGUAGUCAGCCAAUUUCUGCAUAUUCAUGAUAAGCAAGUCAACGUCCAAUAUUUUAGACAAAUUUUUCUUGUUUAAUAUAGUCUAGCUUUCUCUAUUACUAUGUAAGUCCAUGGCUCACCUUAAAUAGGAUGGCACGAUGCCGGCAAAGGCCCAUUGUUAGACUACCUAUAGGAAGAAUGAUACAUUUCCGAAAUUCCUUGAGUCUAUUGCUAACCAGUUUCCAUCGUUUCUGAAGAUCACCUUGCUCCACCUGGAAAUUCCCCCUAAAAGCUUUAUAACCUCAGCACACACAUCUUAUAUAUGCACAACUAUGAAGAAAACUAAAAAAAUAGGAACAAAAAGUGUACCCCAUAUAAACGGCAACAAGUCUGCCAAGUUUCUCCACGAGCACUAACAUGUUGUCUGAAGAACAAUACAGCUCAUGUGCCUUGUCCUCUAGUUCUUUAAGACGUGAGUCCUCACGUCUGUCUAUCAAAACCACUUCCAAUGAUGUAUCAUUCGGCUCAGUUUCCUUUAGUAACAAAAGAGAAGGAAUUCGUUUUCCUUCCUCCGAAUUGUUACACAUCAACCAAAGAUACGGAUCCAUCCCUAGUAUACUGUAAAAUCCAUCUGAUAUCUUGUCAUUGUAUGAUAAACAACCACUUACCUGAAACAAAAUGGAGAAAACUAAAAUCAACAAUUCGAGCUAAAUAAAGAUUUGAGAGACAAGUUAAAAGAACAUAUAUACGACUUCAUACCCAAAAACGGUAGGAGACAGUUUCUGUGCUCUGUAUAUGAACAGAUUCACAGGCUAGGUUUGCUUGAGAACUUAGCCUCUUAACAAGCGUGACUUGCAAGUAAUAGCCUUCUUUUGAUUUCUGCGCUAAGCUUUGCUCUUUGCCCUCUUCUCUAACCUCAACUUCUUCUUCGUCCUUGGUGACAGAGACACGCGUGGUGGUCGAAGUUUCCCUUGCGUCCGUAUGACUUGAGAAAUUGGAGAAAUUCCCGUCCACCGUCGUCCCGGAGAAGAAACUUCCAGCGAAGCUGCUCUCACUCGACAUUCGGGGAAGGGAAACUUCCCUGUCAAAGCCCCGGUCAAUGUUUCGUUCAUUGAUGUUAACCGUUCGAGCCGAAGAAGAAGACGCCGCGAUGACAGAAUCCGGCGAAGACGUAGCAGGAAGCGGAGCCGGAUCAGCCGGAGACAACAAAAGAUGCUCUCUCUCCUCAUCGGCGUCACUCGACAUAGAGAAGCGCGUGGGCUUCACGGCGCGUCCAUGAGCAGUAGUAGAAGAAGACCUAGAGAGAUUAGCCUUCUUCUCCGCCAACCAGUCAUAGAAAGCCGCAAGUUGCUGCUGAUGCUUCUUCUCCGACUUGCGAUCAUCAACGCCACCGCUAAAGAGAUCUGAAACGGCGGAGCUUUUAGAAAGCAGAGAAUUAGAGGAGAACACAGUCGUCUCCUUGUCCUUAUUCGAAUCUUCGCUGACUCCAUUAGAUUUAUUCUCUCUUUGAAAUCCAAAAUUCUCACUAACGUUGGAAGACGAUAUCUUCUCGUGAUCAUUCUUAAGCGACAAUGAAUCGAAUCCACGAUCAGGAAACUGCCGCGGGAAGAAGUAAGUAGUCCGGUGAGGCAUUUCGUUAAAAUCUCACUCUGAAAUCAAAACCUUGGCAAAAAAAAUUACAGAUGCGAUCGAACAACAGAGAAAUGAAUCUUCUUCGUUUAACCAAAUCCCGUCAUUGAAUACAGAAAUAAACAAAAACAGACGAUCAAUAGAGGAAAUUUAAAAUCUCAAUAGCUGAAUUCGUCAAGAGAGAUUUGCUUGCUCCGUUUAGAAUUGAAGUAGUCAAUCGUCAACGUAAACCACCGGAGAAAAGAAGAAGAUAAUCUAAACGUAUCACCGGAAAACAAAAACUACGGUGGUUUAUGUGUGAGAAAGAGAGAGAGAGAGAGAGGGUUUUGUUGUUAGAUCAACAAGGUGUUGGAGAUUGCACGAGAAAAGGAAGGAAGAAGAAGAAGAAGAAGAAGAAGAAGAAGAAGAAAAGGAAAGACAACAGCAAAUGGGGAAUUAAAUAUUUGAAUUUUUUAUUAAAUGGCCAAUUAAAAACUCUAAAGGAAGAGGGAAGAAGAAGGGAGAAACUUUAUGUGAGGAGCUUACACGUAUACUCUUCAUGCAAUAAGAUAAUGACACGUGGAUUUUCAUCCUACUCAUGCAUUUCUUGGCUCUCUCUUUCUCUCAUGAUCUCAGUUUUAUAAUUUUACUUUAUAAGGAAGUGAUGACUAAUGACUAUGGAGGAUGCAUUCUCCUAGUCCUAGAUCUAAGGGGUGUGUCUAGGUGCUAAUUGGUUUUGUAAUUAUCUCUUAAUUAUCGAAAUUAGAACAUUUUUUGUUACUAUACUGGAUUGAAUAUCUUAUCACUAAUCAAACUACAUAAAAUUAUAUAAAUGUUUUUGACUCCCUAUCAUUAUGGUAAUCAAAGUCAGCAUAUGUUGGUUAGAUGUAAAUUGAAUUGGCUUGAUGGGUUUAUCUUUAUCUCUUAGCUCUAAUAUGGUCAAUUAUUUGAUAAAAAAAUAUAUAGUUGAUUGUGUUUGGAUUAAUUACUUUUUGUAUUUUGUUUAUCAUAAGAUUUAACAUAUUGAUCUUUAACAAAAAAAAAAAAAGAUUUAACAUUUUGAUUGUCUAAUUAUCAUUUAUGUUAUUAUUGUUGUUGUUUUAUUUUUGAUAUUUAUAAUACUUUUUUCUUUCUAGUUUAUUAUAAAGCUUUGAUUAAUUUUGGGAUUAAGAAGCUUUAAAAUUUUAUUCGUUAUGAAUCAUGCAUGAUAUUUCACAUGUUGUAUAUUGUUUUAUCUUAUAAACAUCAAAUUGUUACACUCUAGUUUAGUGUUAUAACUUAUAAGCACUAAGCGUUUGCAUUGCUAACGCAUCUAAUAUUUAGAAAUCAAACUUAUUUUUUGUCUCCUAGAAGAUACGACGCACACAAAGAAGAUAAAAACCAAUGCAUAUCUACUGAUUUUGUGGAAACGGAAAAUAAAGAACUAACAAGUGAUCUUUUUUUUUUUUUGACCAACAACAAGUGAUCUUCACUUGCUUUUAUCGCAUGAAACCAAAUUUUGCUUCUAUGUGAGCGCUUUUAAAUUCUCCUUAAUUUCUUACAAAGUUAUCAUCCCACCACCAGUCUAAUUUUCACAGUCUAAAAAUUUUCACAGGUUUAAACCUUUAGUUUUCACAGGUUUAAUUUCGCAGGUUUAACCUUUUUAGACUGUGAAAACUAAAGGUUUAAACCUGUGAAAAUUAAACCUGUGAAAACCUAAGAAAUUAACCUUUUUAGACUGUGAAAACUAAAGGUUUAAUUUUCACAGUCUAAAAAGGUUUCCGUUAGUUCUCAAACACGAGAAAUGUAUAAUUGUUUCUAUAUCUACGUUCAAAUGUUUUCAUUUUAAGUUGUGAAAAGCUAGCACAACAAAAACAAUCCUACAAUAAUAAUAAGACAGGGAUGAUAUCAUCACAAGAGCGUUUAGCUGUUUUGAUACCUUUAGAUUUAGGUUUGGUGAAGCCUUCAGAUUUAACUCGUGACUCAUAAACUAAUUAGUAAUUACAAUUGCAAAAUAACAUAAUUAUUAAAGACUAUUUAUUACUUUAAAACAUAUGAUAUGGUACAUGCAUGGACCUCUUUUUAGCUAGUACAGAAACAGACCACCCAAUAAUUUAUUCGUCUCAGAUACUUUUAAAUUGUUUGAACAAACUAAAAUAAAGAAAGAGCAACGAGUCGUCACGAGGAUCGAGUCACUUAAAGCGACACCUUCUCGAAUAAUCUCAUCAUAAACUAUUGUAUCUAUAUUUUUUGACAGAAACAAACAUUAUCUUAGUUGAUUAUCAUCAAACUGGUUCGACGGUCCUAUCUCUUCGAUACAUUCUUGUGUGAUUUAUAUAAGUAUUCUAUUUGUUACACAAUAAUAUGAUUAAUAGAUAAUAUUAUCUAAUUUUGUGGUCCCGAGCCGGAUUUAGUAAUCCACAUGGUUUUGGUAUAUGAUAUGCGUAUCAUCCUAUAAACUAAUCUUGUAAGGACUGGGAUCUAAGAUGCAUUGUCCCAUUCGAACGCAACUUUAAAAUGUUUUCAGAUUUUUAGUAACGGAUACAACAACCAAAAAGAAGAAGAAAACAGCCUUAAAAGUGUUGAGUAGAUUAGUGGAUGCACUAGAUUCGUAUUGAUUUGUGAGACAACCUGAGCAAAUCUUUUGCGGAUGCAACGCAAUAAGUACGCUUUUUUUUUCUUUUCUCAGAAUCUGACUUUACCGUUUAACCACACCAUUGUCAAUGGUUAAUUGGGUUACAAGCAAAGUAACAACACUAUUCCAAUUAACAAACUCUGAAACCAAAGACAUCUGAUAUGGUAUUUGAUUUGAGGUUCGGUUAUGGUUUCUAUAAUACAUGUGAUGGUGAAAAGAUAAGUUCAUAGAGAUGACCAACUGAUUCUACAAGGAUUUUCUAUCUUCUGAAUCUUAUCACAGUAUUUAGUGAUCACCUAAGAGAUGAGAAUUGUCCCCAUUGGCAAGAGAAACCAUGGAAGUGUGUUCUUCAACAGUUGCAGCUUCAGAGUUUAAGUUGUUAGCAGCAUCAGCAACACUCACACCCUCGUCCUACAAUAAGCGAUGAUGAUUCAAGCUCUGCCUUAUGUGUGUAAACCAAUCAGAAACACAGGGUGAAAAUUAUAAGAGCUUACCGGUUUUAUUAAAGCCAACUGAUUCUCUUCUGUUUUCUUUGAGAGAUCCCUCAAUGUACCCUACAAGAAUUGAACAAUUCUAAAUGUCAAACAUAUUGGCUAUAUAGUGAAUAAUAUAUGUGAAAAUAGAAAGAGUAGGUGAUGUAUUUAUAUCAAUUUGUGGAUAUUCAUACGCACCCUGUUAGCCCAAAAAAGUCCACAGGCAUUGCAGAGAGUCCUGGGGCCGGAAGGGCCACGUCGCAUCAUUGGUGUACAUUUGGAACUAAUGCCACAAUGAGUACACCUACAUAAGACGCAAUCACGUUUAAAAUAACAAUAUUUUUUUGCAGGAACAGUUAACUGGCAGAGAAAGAACGCACGAUAUUUCUGGAUGGCCAUCAUCUUGGACAGAAUCUUGAUCUGUGCCCGAGUUAUAAGCCCCAUCUGUCAUCUUUGAAGAGGUGAAUUGACCUUUAUUACGUGCCAUUCUGGUAAAGAUUAACAAAGGUCAGAGAGGCAGAAAUGGUGACAAAUCCUAUCCCUUGUGGAUGAAAUAAACAUAUUAUUUAUUCCCAGUUAAAGCUAAUUAUCACACUAACCACGACUCAUAUAUAUCCUACUCAACUACAAACAUAUUCUCAUAUACUAUAGCAAGUCAUGGACACUAAGCCUGAGUCACUACAUAAGCACCUACAUGGUCACCAAACUUAUUGAAAACAAAUAUAAGAAAAGUAGCAAGGUAGUAAACUAGUUGAAUAUGAACAUACUUUCUUUCAAUCCGUAGCACACAAAAGUGAGGAAGUUUUUAACAAGCCAGAGCAUAGCCAAAAGAGAAGUAAAUUUCUAGCUUAGCUAUAUAAGAUUACAAUGUUUUUGAUCCCAGGAAAUGUGGAAGAAAUAUGUCCAUCCUCUUCAAAGAGUAACCAUCACAUAAUCCAUUUUCCUGACAGAUGUGACAUUUAAAACUAACUACUCAUGGAUUUUGGUAAGAUCCAACUUAACAAGAGCUAGCUCAAUACUAAUGGUUCCGUAGGCCUAAGAAACUUUUUAAAACCUUCUGCUAACUAAUUUGGGAUUGUAACAGCUUUUUGGCAUAAAUUGGUAAAACUAAAGACUGAUGAUACACUGACCUUAAGGCCACUUCUUGGCGAACACCGUAUCUUACUUUCUUCUCGAAACAUCUAGAAUUCCUCUUCUUCCGAAACCUAUCCAAGGAUUGUGCCCGUUGCGGAAGGUUACAGCGGUUCUGGUAUUCUACAACAGGCUAAAAAUGACACCAAAAUGACAAAGGUGGAAUCGAGAUGAUUUAAGCAGAAUUUGAACACAAAUAACAAAGUUACCAUAUGAUUCUGCUGAGCUAGUUCCAUCACCUGCGGACCAGCAGCAAGCUCAGUAGAACCACCCAACAGCGACAACACAGCAUCCACCUACGAAAUCGAUUUCCAAAAGUUUGGUAAGACUAGGUGAAGCAAAAAAGUGCCCAGAAUUGUGCAUUCACUUGCAAAAAGAGGCAAUCUUUACGUGCCCUAAGCCAUCAGAUGCAUUCCAUCGAGACUUCACAGAAACAGCAAAAAGUAGAAUUACCUUGUCAGGACCAACAGCAUCAAAAACGUAAACUUGUCCACGGAACGAGAUCGUGAGCUGAUUAGCUCCUUCCGGUGGCCGAGAAACUAGUAAUUCAGAGCCAUCGGAACGGUGAGCAACCAAUUGAGAGCCAUCGGGAAUCAAAUCGGAGGCAGUACCAUAGAUGGAGUCAGGAUGAGGGAUUUCAUCCAUAUCGUCGUAAGGAAUGUGACCAGACGUUGCGGAGGCAGAGACAUGGUCUUCACCAGCGGAAGCAGAGGCGGUACCAAUCUGGUUAUUGGGGAUAAUCACCGAUUGAGAAUGGCGACCAAACAUCGGAAACUGCCAAAAAGGAGAGCCUUUUUCACAUUGAUUGAAGGAGAUAGGGAAGAAAAAAAAAACCUAACCCUAAGAGCAAAGGAAGAAGGAAAUAGUUGACAUCGAGAAGAGCAAUUACAGAGAGAGAUGGUGGUCGGCGCGUGUGGAGGAGGGGAGAUUAGACCGUCGUCGAAUUCACCCGACGGUAAAAAAAAAGUGACUUUAGGUAAAUUCGCAGCACUUCUUCCGAGACGACCCGGCGACUCCACUUAACUGGAUUUUUAACCAAUCACCCCUUCUUUUUUCUUUUUUUAUUCUUACAAAAAAUUGUGAAAUUUCCUUUUCCUUUUUUUUUUUUUUCGUAAAACUGCUUUCAUGUAAAGAAAAAAAAAUCUGAGAAUAUUCUGUAAUUUUUUUUUUUGGGCAAACUGAAUAUUCUAUGUAUCUAUAAUGGUCAAAGGAUAUGGAAAAAUAUUCGGAAAUUACGCGAACCAGUUUAGUUUAUCAACAAAAAAAAAAGUAUGCACGAAAAGAAUGAAUGGAGAGAGAGAGUGUGUUAGGAGGUCUUGGUGUGUUGUUUAGUUGGAGUAGUGGGAAUGUUGUAAAGAAGAAGACCUAGGACCAGAACUAUACACCCCAUCGUGAAAUUUGAGCUCAAGCUUGAUCCUCCCGGUAGAUACGGCAAUGGUUUUGACAUUACGUACACCGAUAAUGGCACUACAAUAACACCAAAAGUAUCUCGUAAUUAAACUCAUGUGGUGUCACUUAAGAGGCUUUGUAUGAAAGGAUACAAAAAUGGACCUGAGAGCAUCACAGCGAGAGAGGAAACGAUUGCUGAAGAUAUUUUCACCAGAUGAAGCAAUGAGAUGUUGAAAGCGAGAUUGGUGGCUAUAUAGAGUAGUGGGAGUAUAGGGGCACCAUCACAGCCUGAAAUGCUCAAAUGGAUCACAAACAGUUUUUGCAGUGAAUAGAUAAAAUGAAGAAGGAAAAAAAGAGCAAGUGUCGAAUGGUCUCUAACCAGAAAUCUUAGCUCCAGUGUUGAAGAAGCAGCCGGCACCAUCUUUUAGAUAAGAAGGAAGGCUGGCGAAUGGAAUGCCUUUCAAGUUUGAGAGAAAAGGCAACAACAGGAACACAAAAAGAGCCUGCGCAAACACAACUUCAGUGAUCCGUAACACUGAACCAAAUAACAAAAACUCUUUACAAGUAGGAAAGAGAGAAUAAGUGAAUGACAGAGGAAAGCAGCUUUCAUAUGUUUUCUGCACAGACUCUUCAGGUAAUGGAUAACCAUGUCUAGGUGGAAUACCCUAUUAUAUGGAUUGUUUUGGCUGGGACAGAUACAUUUACAUCAUGAUAUUGUAGUAGAUACCUGAAAUCCAGAUCCAAAUGAAUUUACCACAAAUAAAUCCAGUGGCUUUCCCUGCAUCAGCGAGUUAUGCCUAGAGUUCAGAAAAGUUUCGAAAGAAACACAUUCCAUUUUGAUGCAGGGGAUAAGGGAGAUACCUCAAGACGCUUUGCAGCAUCAUUGAAAACAAAUUCCUGUUGACAGACAAAAUACUUAACAAAUUGGGUGUUGGCAAUAAAAUAGAAAUGUUCACAACUCAUAAGAGAGAGCGACCUUCACCUUUAUGAUAGAUGCACCAGCUUGAAAAGCAGCAGAUGCUACCAAUACAGCAGGCCAUAAGAAACCAAUACCAGAUAGCGUAGUAUCUGCACCAGAUCCACUGCAGAUGAGUUAAAAGUCAGCAUUCACAGAAAUGAAAGUAACACUAUCACACAAGCUUCUCUAGAAUCAGGGCCUUCUAUCUGCUAUGUGGAUGAUAAAUACUAAAGUAGAGCCGUCUCCAUUCAUUUAGCAUAGUAAUUUGAUAGAGGUGACUCUGGUCCAUGAAAACUAGUUUUCAUGGAUUGUAAGAGCUGAAAGCACUUGUAAAUGACUACAGAUACACACACAUUUCUCUACCCCAAGAUCAAGCAUCCAGAUUCAAGAAGAUAAAAGUAACUUUGGAAGAAGAGAAGAGGGAAUGGCUACCUUGCAACCGCCACCACAACGCCCACAGCCACAAGGAAACAACCAGCAAUUUGGUUAAGCAAAAACCUCCUGCCUAAAAUAAGAAGAGCAAAAAGCAGCUGCCACACCAAAAACGUCUGCCAAACAUUGGGAGGCAUGAGUUCAACACCCCCAUGAGAAUAAAUGAGCAAGAAGAUAAUCAUUAAAACCAAAAGACCUGAUUCAAAAUGGGUAUUACUGGUCCAGGAAGCAUGGCUGCAACAGAGAAAGGAAUCACUUUCAUAUGUAACCUUACAAAUAUGUAAAGUUCACAUGAUGACUAUAAAGGGGAUACCUGCUGCAGCCAUGCCAGUGGCAACUCCAAUAGCUUCAAGAAAACCAAUGAUUGCGAAUCUCCAUUUGGGUACAGCCAUCAUUUCAUUUGUCACAAUGCCUAGACGGCGCCUCGUAUACAGAAUGGUGAAAUAAAUGAAGACGUAGCUGCCAAAAACCAUUCAUUUAUCAAAGCUCCUUAACCAACUAAUUUUUGUCAUAGCCACUAAUCGUUUAGGUUACCCGAAAGUGGUGAGCUGAGCCAUGAAAAAUGGGUACUGUUUCAUGGGAACCAAGGCGAGUUUGUAGAGCACGCGAUUAGCUACAGCUAAAGCUACGAUGACGACGGAGUUAACCACAAUAUGGUUCCGAUUAGAAGGAAUUGUAGACUGCUCCGUCGAAGCAUUGACGGAAAAGCCAUGUCUCAUCGGAAAAGUAGUACUAAGGAAGCGAGAUCUCAAAUCGGACCGUCUGAGAAAACACGUGCUCAUAGUCGUCGAUCGGUAGGACAAGAGUCUUGAGCUACGGCAGCUGACCUGAUAAAUCGCCGGCGAACGAGAUACCGUAGGAAUCGAAGCAUGAAGAUAUCUGAUUGGUUGUGUUGUAGCCAUGAGAACGGUAUCCAUUAGCGGGACUUUCUCUUCUCGGCGUCUGUUUUUAUAUCCUUCUUCGCUUAUACGACAGCGUUUUGUAUCCCUUCUUCGUAAGAUGUCGUCGUUUAAACGAAAACGAGUUUUGGAUUUUUAUCACAAGCUUACACCCACACAAUCGUGGUUUUGAACAUAUUAUUAUGUUUGUUUGUAUCAGGAAUGUGCCAUGAUUUACAAAUAUGACAUGUAAUAGCAAACAUAUAAAAGUUACCUUGUAAAUUAUAAGAUUUGUUUGAAAAUUUAGGGAAUGGUAGAAAUAGCAAGAGAUAGAGCUUAAACUUGGGGUCUAGCUUGGACGAUGUAGAUAUGUCCACCUUUGACAACACCUUCAAUGUCUUGAGGACAACCAUAGAGUGUCUCUAUCACAUUUCCAGCUUCUGCAAUCGCUGAGAACAGACGCACUUGAUAGGAUUUGUCCAUUAUUAGCGGCUCUCUUGAGUAAUCCACCACUACUUCCUCUGCUUCAUCCAUUAUCACACUGCACAACUUAACCCUUUCAGCUUCGAGUUUCGAAAAAAAGACAAACAGAGAAACACACAAAACGAACCUGUCGUAAAGUCCAGCGCCUGCGUUGCCUUCAAGAUCCUCGUUGUUUGAAUCUGAUCGGAAUAUGAUUGAGGGUUUAGAAUACAGACCUAUCCUCUUACUUGGGUAACUGAUCACCUGUACAACCCAAAUUCCCACUCACUCGGUUAAGUUUAACUCAAAUUAAGAGAUGAAUACAAUCUGUUUGUUUCUUACCAUUGGAGACUUGAGGUUUGUUUUCUUGGUGAUGAAGCUCAUUGCUCGUCCUGGAUAUGCUCCAACCAAGGUCUCUCCCAAACCCUUCACAAUCUGAGAAAGGCAGUUUCUUGAUAACUGCGUUAUUGAAUAUUUUAACUCAAAAAUGCAGAAAAUGGAGAUAGUUCUUUUACCUCUGUGUAUAUUUCUGAAGAAUCACCAGAGACCGGAUUGUUUGUGUGAAUGACGAAAGCAUAAUCGCCACAUAUGACUUCUUGAAUCAGCACCGCCAUGCAGACCUCAUCAUGAUCAAGCUUAGUUUUUUUGCAACUGACAUAAGCUCUCUCGUUCCACUUUGAAGCCCAGACCUAUGCACAUGUGGAGAUCAGGGAAGCACUUAGUUCCUUUAACUAUACACAAACCUUCAAAUAGAUUUCUACCUUCUUAAUUGCCACCCAGGAUUGGUUCCAGCCUGAUUCAUCCCCAUGAUAAGGCAUCCUUUCACUUCUCAAUUUUGUCAUCAGUUCAUUUCUCUACCAAAGAGUUCAAAACCCAACAUGAGAUUCAAAGAAAACAUGAGCAGAGAGAAAGACAACCUAUAUGCCCAGUUAUUACCAGAGCCAUUGGAGCACACAUUUGUAAUAUAGCUUCUUGAAUCGCCUUAAGUUUUGUCAGGUCUCCUCUGUUAAGAGAAUCUUUAAGGGUAGAAAUCCUGCGUGCUACUUCCUGCAAAGCGAUAGAUCCACCAAGAAUAUUCAAGAGACUUCUGGAUCUUAAGCUCAAUGAGAAGCUGUUCCUUGGAUUACUUUUAGAGAGUUCCUGAAAGAAAAUGAUAAGCCAAUAUUUAAGCUUAUACCUUGUUGGAAUCAUCUGAGAGUACAUUCUCAAAUGUUCCGAAUGGAAGAGCAGCUGAGGUAGGUAUCUUGAUCCAUGAUGGAACUCUUUCUCGUAGAAAUUUGAUAUUGUAUGAUUUUGAACCGACCUAAAAAUCUCAUAGAAAUGAAAAUCCCAAUGGUAUUCUCAAAAUGAAAACAUUUUUAUCUCCAAGAAUCUGAUUUUACUUACCCUUUCAUCGGUAAAUUCCUUAGCUGAAAUCACAUAGUGGCCACAAAACUUCUUCCCCUUGGAGAUCACUCCCCGUGGAACAGAGGAAAUAUAAACAUGACGAACGUAGACAUCAGAGUUGUUGCCAUCACUGCAAGUGAUAUAAUUUCAUAGUUAUUAACAAAUUCUUCUCUGAGUGUAAAGAACAGUGACAACAUAAGAGUUCGGUUACCUGAUAACUAAACCAGUAGACUUUGUAUGAAUAGAUAUUGCUCUCCCUUCCUUCGACUUCAGAUUGCUGAGAACAUUCUGAUCGAAGCAUGUCGCAAAGCAUAUCUGCAUCAGAAGAACUUAAGAUGAGAAGAGACAUAUGAGUUCCCUGAUAAAAUGUAAAGAUCCUGGUUCUUCUUUUUGCAGCAUUGUCUGAUGGUAUAUAUUGGAGCAGAAAAUAGUACAUGCCUUGCUGUUUCUUGCUCUAAUAGAGACAUGAGACAAGACAUCAAUCAUACUAGGAGUCAACACAGCUACAACACCAGCAGGGACCUCCUCUUCUCCUGUGACUUUACUUGCAAUAAUUACAGUUGGCUUCGAGUAGACUUUAUUCUGAACAACAAUUAACUCAUUGACACAAACCAAAAACCCAUAUGCAUCAGCCGAGCUGAUAACCUGCCAACUUCUCAACCAGAACCAUUUUGGUUUAGAGAAAAAAUAUGAUAAAGGGUUCAGUAAUCAUCUUCUACAUGGAACAAAUCUAAAUGUAGUUCUUUAGUUCAAAUUCAUGGUAAAACAUAUCUUACCAGCCUAAAUUCGCGAUUUUCCUGAGAGAAGGAUCAAAUCUGUUUAUAAGACUUGAUAAAACGGCUCCUGGCCCUGCUCUUAUAACCUCUUCAGUGAAAACAUCAAUCUGAAAAAUAAACAAGAAACCCAGAUGGAUAAAUAUAUGAACUUUUAGACUUUCUUACACAAAGAAGAAGUUGUAGUUUAACUGAAAAGUACCCCAUGCUUGUCAAUACGUAACAGUUGACCAAGAUAUCUUGCAGAAGGCUGUAUUAAUGUAAAAUAAUGCUGACAUCUAUCAGCAAGUACUAGUUGUAAACGGUCAAGAACCGCUUUUGUUUGCAAUGCCCACUGAACAUCAUGAGGUUUGUAAGCCUCACUGAUACGGUACCAAUCCUGGACGCAAAAGAGAAUAAAAUUUACUAUUCAAACAAGAACAUUGAGAGUCAAAAUUUGAAAGAGAAACGAAGGGAAAAUAAUGAGAAGAAAUAACAUGCCUUUGUACAGAAGAUGAUUUCUUCAUUGUUAACUGUAGAUAAGCACAGAUUCUCAAGCACCACGCAGAUGACAAAUAUAAUUUCCUGUUCCAAAGAAUGAGAAAGCAGAUUAAUCCAUACCUUACUCUUUAGUGUAAAGACUAAUAUUUGGAUACAAAGGAAAGUAAAUAGUUUUAAACUACAGAGAUAAUAGAUACCGGUGGGUUAUUGAAGUUUAAAGAGAUGAGUCUCUUCUCUAUUGUUGUUUUAAAACACGACUCCAACGCAAUGUCCAGAAAUAGUAAAUCUUUUGCCCUCGUACGAGGUGCUCGUAGUGCAGGGUGUAACUGAAUGCGAGCAUCAACUAACUUCUACAGAAGUACAUAAAAAAAAAAAAAGCAAUCAUAAGGAUAAAAUAAAUCAACAAUAAGAAGAAGAAGAAUACUGGAAAUGUUGCUGUUAGAACCUCUAUUAGGGACUCAGUGUUCUCUUCGCGAACAAGCCUCUUAACUAAAUUCAGUAGAUCCUACCAUACAAUGGAAAUGGCUGCUCUGUUAGACUUUUUGAUGUUUUUAAAAUGAAUAAUAAUAGAAAAAAUAUCUUGUUGGAAAGAUGGUAUGAGGAAAUUGAACCUGCAAUUUUGGUGAUAAACCAUUGACAGCAAAGACAUGAUGACCCUGAAAAAGGAAAUGAAAGGAUGAGGUGUUACUCUUAACAUAGAUAUAGCGUUCUUGAUGAAAUGUGUCCCAGAAAAAUCAAAGUGACGGUUUGAAAUUUGAAUCAUGAACUAAUUACCUUAGAUGGAGAAAGGAACGUAUCAAUAGCAGACUCAAGGUCUGCACCUGAAUGAACUGCCUACAAAGGCAGGUACAAACAGUUUGUUUAGAAAUUCAAGAUACUGAAAAUCGAGAAUGGAGCAAAAGAUUGUUGUGUAAUGUGUAAGUUCCUGAUAUUAUCGAUCCAAAUUGCAAAGCAAUCAUUAUCUAAUAGAGGCCAGAGGUGUAAAUAUGCUCAUCUUAACAACAGUGUUGGGUUUAAUUACUAAGCUAAUUAACCAUUAGAGUUUUCUCCUAAGAUUUCUUCAAUAGAUCAAGAAACGAAACUAGGCUCCAGGUGCUAGCAGAAACUAGGGAUGCGACUGUUAUUAGAAAUACCUUUAAUGUUUUCAAGUACAUUGUAAGGUCACGGAUGAGUCCUUCUUUAGCAUCACUUCUGAAACGAGGCUCUGAUACUAUGGGGCGGUCAUAACUUGCAAGCCUUUCUUUUGUGAGACCAUUAGUCUUUAGUGUUUGCCAGUAGGCAUCGAUCCUGAAGUCAGAUCUCACAUAGUUUAAGAGAGCCUAUGGCAGAAGAAUAAAACUCAUCAGAGAUUAUCCAGGUAUGUAAUCCUGGGAAAAAGGACUGAAAUUUACAACAGCAAACUAAACUUCUGAACUAGCUAGUUUGUUGCUUUUUAAAAAGUAGCGAGUUUUAGAAUGCAGUUUCAACUUUAUCUUAGAUGUUAUUCUUCCUCUUAUUUACCAAUCUCUAAAGUUAGUAUCUUACUGCAAAUGGAAGCAUCUUUACCUCACAAAUUAUCACAUCAUCUGCGCUACUGUUGUUGUGCAACUUUUGGUGCCACUCUUCCAUCAUGCCGGAUUUGCAGUGGUUAUUUCUCUAACAAAAGAUAAUAAAGACAAGAAAAUGUUAAAAAAGGGAAAAAAAGAAGUAAAAAUAAACUACUCUAACAAGACUAGAAAAAGUUUUAGCUGCAGAAAUGUUGAACUAUAUACCUGAAUAACAAGGAUUUCGUCACGGAUUCUCUGCCCAACAUCACCUUGACCUCCACGACCCACAAGUGCCAUAGUUAGUCUCACAAUUUCUCUCUUAUUUGGUUGCUGCAAAUAUAUUUUCUCCAUCAAAUUGGUGAAUCUUUCUAGCGCUUCACUAAUUUCCCUGCGGAAAAGGACUUAAGGCAUAUAAGGUCUGAUCAAAAGAAAGAAGAAAAAGGAUCAACUAUCAAAAGUAGCCUAUGGAACAAUAGCUCUACCGAGGUUUCACGUUAUAGUUCUUAUUCCAGGUGAGAUGUCUGGUGGCCAUGAAUCUCAUCCACACCAUUAUACCAAUACAUCCACCUUCUCCUUCAUCCUUACAACGGUCGGUCAACUCUGUUGCAAUGUUGAACCUGCCAAGUUAUGCUUAUAAGAAACUUCACUGACAUUAUUAAGAAGAAAAAUCAGGUUAUACAGAUUCAUUCACUUAACGAUUCUAGAUACUUUGACUUACCUGUGCAUCAAUGAUCUCUCAGCCUCUAUCUCUCGCUCAGAUAUUUCAUCAAGUAACCAUUUGAGAAUAUACUUUCCAUCCACGUCAAGCUGAGGAGAAUAAACACGUUUAAAAUUGAACUCACUUUAGUGAUAAGAGCAUUCCAACAUUCUCAUUCCACUGAUGGUGCGAUGAAGUUUACUCACCUUAUCACUGGUACUGUCUGCUGAUUUCAGGUUUACAAUGAAGUUGGCUCCAUUAUUGUUUAACCAGUAGCCUCCAGACCAUAUUACAAAUUGGAUACCAACAAAACCGCCUCGUUUUAAAUUUAUAUCGAUAAACUUUUCCAAUGUUAAAAACAUAGAUGAGUUAGUAAAUUAAGAUUACAUUUAUAUCGUUAAUCUAGUCUACUCCUUUAUUAAUAUUUGGGUAAAAUUACUAAUCUCUGUAAAAAUAUUCACUGCAUGCUUCACCUGAUAAUUGUGUUCUCUGCUCGACAUAUCGGUAAAAUGUGUUUGACAUGCUCCGUGAACAAAUUUUGAUUUCUCAGGUAACACAUCAGGUGGUGGAAUCUAUUUAGAGUCACAAAAAUCAGGCUCUUAUUGAGAAGAUUCUUGUAAGGAAUAUCUACAGAAGCAAGAACAUCUUACCAACCACUCUCCUGCAGAUGACUUUGCGACUCCCCAAUGGAGAACUGUUGGACCUGCCAUGUUUGUGGCAACCCAUAAGCGACAACCUCCCUUAACAUUCCUCUGGAGGACCUAAUAAACAAAUUACAUAAACCAUAAGCUAUCUAGAAGUUAUUGAAAACUACCAAUAAUAAAAAUGAAUGUAUGAGCUAAUUGUAUUACAAACCGUGAUUUCGUAGUUUCUGACAUGAAAGCUUUUUUGUGAAAUUACAUUUUCUUGGCCUACAGAUCUCUUGGAGAGUUCAACAAGAGUUGAACUUUUAACACUUCCAUUUCUGUUGAUUGGUUCGGCAUAUUUCUGUAACCAUUUCUGAACAUCAUGCUUACGACGAUAUGAUUGGUUGUUCAUAGUUUGAUGUGGCUCACUGGUUACUUCUUUCUCCACUGGUACUGUAGAGUUAGCCUGAAGGUCGUCUAAAGAUAUUCCUCUAGCGAGCUCGGUUUGGAGCUCUCUUACUGCAUUGUCAUAGUCUAUCUGAAAUGACACACAUGCAAAAAAAUAGAGACAGCACCGCCUUUACAACUCAUAAACACAGAGAUGAGCUAAUCUAAAGCAGGAGCUACACCUUAAAGCAAGCAAAGACUUGCUAAAUAAAAAAAAUCAGCAGAUACUAAAUGGACCAAGUUUACCUGUUGUUCACGUGCAGAGCUUUGUGGUCGGCCCUUCCGGUCCCAUAUCUUAUGUGCUCUUCUUUCUAUCAGAUUCUUCGGUAUCUGAUGAUGAACAUGCAGAUCAUUCCAGGGAAUCUCAACACGGAAGUUUCCAUUAUGCUGUUUCAACCUACAAUUUCCAUUAGGCAACAAGGUAGAGACGUGAAUUGUAGCCCGUUCAUUCCUCACAAGUCACCAAGCAUGAAUCAGUUAUAGAAAAGAAAGAAAUGUGCACCAUCUGUUGUGACUACCAUCUUUCAAAACAAAUUCAAUGGCACGUACUCUUGGAUCACGCAACUCAAGGAUCACUACAUAAGCAUUCCCACUCUGCAUUGAAAAGAAACACUUUGCAGAAAAAUAUUGGGAUUCUAGAAAAACCUUGUAGAUAAACAAGAAAUGUAAGGGUUAUGUAGACCUUCACAAAGGGAGUCUGCAAUGCACCUUGCUUCGAGGAAUGUUCAGAUGGGACAAACCAGUUGCUGUAGAUAACAUAAGUCAAAAUACAGAUAUUUUAAGUGUAAAUUCUAACUUAAAGAUCAUCCAUCACUCACUUAUUUCCUUGGUAAAUACAACCCCAAUGAAGAAUCCAUGUGCGAGUGCAGUUCUUAAGGUGAAACUCAGCUCUUACACUGCUCCCAUUCGGUAACCCAGUGACAGUGAUCUAAUAUCGAUACGGACAUUUAAGUCCAGAAUCUGAUAUUGUAAAUUCCAGAAGGACAGAAGAAAGAACAGACCUGAAGCUCCAUCCCUUCAAUUAGCUGGAAUUGUUGGGCUUUAGAGGUUGCCAUGGCAGCUAUUCAUAAAAAAGAGGUAACAAGUGAGCCUCAACUAAACUUAUGAAUGAUCUCAGAUAGUGCCAAGAAAAAUUGAAGUUCUAGUUGAUGGACCACUGAUCAUUACUGUCAUCUUGGACCAGCAUCACUAUAUACUGUAUAACGCAUUCCUAUUGACAUGCCUUCUUUACUUAUAAUAACACAUCAAAAAAACGAAACUAAAAACAAAACUAAUAGACCAGCCAACUUUUUUCCAUAAGUUUACCUUGUUCCACUUUUAGCUAUCUUAACGUAGCAAAUCUACAGAAGCUCUUCAAAAUUAUACACAGGUAGUUUCCUGCAUCAAAAAAACUUCUUGUAAACAGCAUCAAUUAUAGGUACAGCAUAAGAGAGAACCUGAGAAAAGCAAAGACUCUGUUCCGUUACAAACCAAAGAUUCUAUAUACUUGGCUCUCACACGACCACAUAAAGUUGCCAAAAGUGCCGUGUGGCUUUGAAACAGAAGAGAGAAAAAGGGACAUCAACCGCUAUGCUUCAAAGUUACAGAAUCAUACAGGAACCUUCACAGAAAGAAACUUGCAGGAAUCAUAUUCUCUUCUGCUUUGGUGAAGUAAGGCAUCUGAAAAGGCAAAAAGACAUGCAUACAUAUAAUAACACACUCCCACCAAAAAAAAUAGAGGAGAGUGAAGUGAGCCAAGAUAAACAAUGGCUUUGACACCAAUCAGUUCCAUUGAGACAAAGUUAUGUCCAAAUAUAUAUCAAGUGAUUCGGAAUUUUACAGAUAAAGAUCAUAAGAACUCAAGAUGAAUCUUAAGAACUUUCUCAUAGCAACAGAAUGUCUCAUUAUGUCCUCGGGCCGAGAAUUUACAUAUAGGCUAAAUUGAUGGCUGCAGAUGGUGCUCAACAUAUAGAAGUGCUGAGUUUACAAAGUGAAAAAAACUCAAAAUCUAUUACAAAGGAAAGCAUAUUCCCUGCUGAGAAUUUGCAUCUCACUGUGUGAGCAGCUUAGAAUCACAUGCCACUAUCUUCACUCGGCUCACAUUCUCUUGACGAUCGUCACUCUUGAACAUUGCGUCCUGUAAUAUGAAGGUCCAGACGUUGUCACAGAACCUGUAAGUGUGCAGGUGCCCCUGUACGAGAAAUGAUAAAUAAGAAACGAGAUUAAGUAUCUGAUUGUUCAUCUGCCAAAGUUUUCUCUUAUUUUGAGAUCCAGAUAUGAGAAAAAUUAUCUUCGGAACAAAGAAUAAUUCUUGGUUUUGCACCACAUUUUCUUUUGAGUCUGCUGAAAACAGACUUAACUAUAUGGAUAUGAAAACAGUGUUUUUAAACAAGCCAAAUUAAUCGCACUGAAUCAGAAGAUAAAUAAUGUCAAUCAUCAGAAACGCUAGCAAAAAUGUAGGCAAGGCUAUCCAGAUUAGUGAAGAACACCAAAAACAAUAGAUCAGUCAGCUUCCAGAAGAACAUAGAAUAUCCAGACUAUUAAACUACAACAGUCGAGAGUAUUCAUGAAAUUGCAAGUAUUUCUUGAGGUAAAACAGAUAUAAGCUCCUAAUUAUGAGCCAGAUAACUGAAUCCAUACAGCUUAAUCUAAAGUUAACACUUAACUCUAGCAAAUCACAUAUGGGAAGCUUCAACCUAUUAUUCAUAUAUGACAUCCAAUGAAACUAUAAACUUGAAUUGAAUUCAUGACAGUGUUAGUAUUUCCUGAGCUAGCAAAUAUGUAAGCAACUUAUCAGGCAGAUAACUGAAUCUACACAGCAGCUUAAUAUCAAGUUGAAAUUUUUAACACUAAGAAAUUGUUUGAGGCUCAGCUACAACCUAUUACUCAUAUGACUCCGAAGAUAACCGAACUAGAGCAAGAUAGCUUAGAAACUAUUAAUCGUCUUCCACCCAAUUCAGGAACAUAAACAGGAUAUUUUCUUCUACCCAAUUCAGUUGACUAUUAUUCACAAUUUCACGAAAAGUUAAUCAAAAAUGAUUAAAAGUGCAACAGAGCCAAGAAAAUCACCUUGAUAGACACCUUGGUCUUCACUUGGCUCUCCAGAGCUUCAGUCAUGGACUACAAUCAUACAUAUAUCAAAAAGGGAAAGAAAAAAAAAACCACAGAAACGAAUCAAGACGCCAAGAUCAGUCAAAUAAAAGUUAAACUGAAACCUUGUCAAAUUGAACAAGGACUUGGAUAGCUAGCUCAGGGCUCAGCGUACCGCUCUGAACCAUCUCGUCCAAAGUCUCCGUCAGACACAUCCCGAUCGUCGAUCUCCUGUACAGCUCAAACGUCGCCAUUCUCUACUUCCCAACGAUCUGCCGAUUCAAAUUCGAGCAACAAAUCGUCGAAAUCAAAUUCGCAACUAAUAACAAAUCGGGAAUCUGAAGGUUUCGACGCCAAAAAAGAUGCUAGAUGAAUCUAAGACCUCAAUAGGAGAUGAAUACGGGAUGAAGAACCAGUUUACCGAUCGCCGGCGACGUUAGAAGAGAAAUGGACGGUGGAUGCAGGAGCUUCCGUUGGUCGAUUGCGAAGGAUUUGUCUCUUGGGCGGAGAAAAAAUUAGGGGCUUUUAUACCCUAGAUUUUGCAGGCAACUGUAUAUAUAGGCAGCGAUAGAUCGGGGCGGUGGAAGAUUACGAUUUUACCCUUGCGUUUGUAAUAAAGUCAUAUCUGAGAUUAGAAAGAAGGCCCAAGACAAAGGCCCAUUUAAUGCUUAUUUGACUAUUAGUAACCCGCAAAUACAAAUUGCAUAUAUAAUAAUGUGACAAAGUCUUGAUAACAAAAAGUAACUUAGUGAGAGUUUGAAUCUAAAGGAGGUCCUUCAAGGCGGAUAUAGUCGUACAUGAGACCAUUAAAGGCUCCAGUGGUGGUCAUGGUUUGUGUCAAGAACAAAGUGUUUUCUCCUUCUACAAGCUUCUCACUUGGUACAUCCACAUUAUAAAGCCUAUAGAUUCCAUGUAUUCCAUGUCUUGCAAUCGCGUUAUCGUGCCCGAUUACACCCGUUGUGAACAUAGGAGUACUCUUUUCAGUGUCAUCAUCAUUCAUCCUCACCUGUAAUUCUGCUACAUUUGCUGUUGCUAGUGCGAUCCGGAUUUUGUAUGUGCUGUUUUUCUGCACAUUCUCUAGCUUGAACUUGAUUUGCCAUGUCGUUUUUUGAUAUGUGUCAUCUUCCAGUUUCCUAUAAUCAAUUAUAUGUGAAGUUUCUUUGAUUUACUCUUGUUAGAUUAUGUGAAAUAUAUGUUACCUGGUAACGUGUGCAAAGAACCAAUCUUUUUUAUAAUCACUGACGCCAAUGGUGAACACCAAAUCUUCCUUAGGAUAUAGUUCUGUGUAUCUUUCCCAUAGCCCGUAUUGCCUAAACCUGCUUAAGUACAACCAUACUUUAGGUCUCUAGUAUUUUAAACAACUAUAGCCUUAUGUUUUAUAACCGACUCAAACCACCAAUGUUGUUAUACUUUGAUCAUGGAUUACCUAUCAGGAUGACCAAUGUAUAGUUUGUUGAUGUAUUUGGGAUUUGGGUCUGGAACAAAGAACUCAGCUGCAGACCGGUCAGGUAUCCCUAUUUCCCACACUGUUGGCCCAUCUCGGGGCGGUUCAUACACGAUAUUGCCAACGUCAAUGUCGCAGCCUGGUUUUUGGGUGCAGAGUGUAGCAAAUGUUAAGUUAACUUGCACUUCUUGACACAGAGGAAUAUAUAAUCUUGAUGAUUACAAAGUAAGUUAAAGGAAAUUUAACCUGCAGUAAUGUUAAUCAAUUGUUCGUAUUGAUAGUCCCCAAUCCAUCCUGUCACAUAAGCAUUGAGAUUAUAUUCGCCUUCUCGGAUAUCAUUUAUGGCGAAAUAACCAUCAGCAUCUGCUUCUGUCCAGAAUUGAUAGCCCUAUGUAUAUAAGUUAAAUUCAUGCAAGCAUAAGUUCAUUGCUUACAUAUAUAUUAUUAUAUGGUCUAAGAAUAUUAUUUGCAGGGCUGACCUUAGAUUCUAAUUGCCAGGAUCCAACCUCUCCUGGUGGAGCCAAACCUACGAAAGCACCAUUUGCCGGUAAAAGUUCAUCACUAAGGAAUUAAAAAAACAAAGGAAACAACAGUGAGUGGUUGAUAAUAAAAAGAAGAAAAGCAGAGCAAAUGGUUGGAAUGUGAGGCUUACUUGUCGCAUAUUAGUAAUCUACCGCUGAUGCAACCGCGCUUAUUAGACACUGCAAAGUCUUCUGAAGCAGGGAAAUCGUAAGGCCAGCUUUGGACUUCAGUUAACAUCUAAUUAUACACCACUUCCUACAAUGUUAGAUAAGUUUUUAUAAUAUGUACAAAAGGUUAAAGGUUGGUGAUAAACCUGGUUUUUCGCGUCUUGCCAUAGCAAAAGAGGAUCAGAGGUCUUGUCAGGCAAGCAAUUGAGGUAAGUAAAAACAGGACCAAACACUUUCUUCCAUGGCUCCCCUGCUUUCACCUUCAUCACCAUGUCCUCACCCGCGUAGUGAGCACUCAAAAACAUCUGUGUUUACACUAUCACUAAGUAAGAACCCAUCAUCAUAGAUAACAGAACAUGUUUCAAGGAGGAAGAAAGAAAAGGAACAUACGGCGAGACUGAUGGGACCAACAUGAGAGGUAAGGUUCUGUUUCGACAAGCCACCUGAUCUGAACUCAUUGCUAGGAAUGAUUUGCCAGCAACCCAAACCCAAGUUCUGUGAGAUCCAUCCAUGCACUUUGAGGUCUUUGUUCUCGCAUGAAUACUCAUACUUGUCAUCAACCUCUCCUUUAAACUCUUCUUCAACAGGAUGAACAAGAAGAACAGCUUCAGGAUAAGCCAAGGGUCUUCCUCUUUUACCCAAUCUAUCUUCUGGAAGUGGCAUUUUCCUCUGUCUGUUAUCAGCAAUAGCCAUAUAUUGAAACCUGCAAUUUGUCUUUCCACAUAAGUAUACUAAUAUCAGUUUUAAGGGAAAUAUUGAUUAUGAACUUUAUUUACUUGUCUUUACGAAGCUUGUAGACAAUCCUUGUCUGAGGCAAGUUAAAAGCAGGCCAUUCCGCUAGAUGCUCGAAUAUCGCAUAUGAGUAGAAUCCACUUACAUUUUUACGCAUUAUGAACCUGAAUUAUACAGUAUCCAAAUCAAACUCUCUGCCACUCUCACACAUAAUUACACAAAUGCAUGUUACAUUGAAAUGAGAUACCUCUUGUCAACAUUAAUGGGAGCAAUACUGUCUUGGAGAGAAGAAUCCCAUUUCCUGGAGAAGGAAAUCUCUACCAGUUCUUCAUUUUCCACUACUACUUCAAAACUUGUGCCUUUGAUCCUGCCUCAACAAAAUUUAUAAACAUUAUAUAAAGCUUUAAUAUCUUAUAUGCUCGAUGGAACGAUGAAUACUUACCGCUCCGAUUUCCCUGUGGUUCCAGGCGCCCCUUCAUCGCUCCAAACAAGGUCCCAAUACCUGAGUUUGGUCACAACAUUUCAUAUGUUGUAAUAAGUUGUGUAAGCAAUUAAUAGACUGAUCCAUGUAUAUAUAACAUAUCUAAAAACAUUCAACAUUACGCACGCACCCUCGAUUGAAAUCUUCAUUGUGAGUUUCUAGUAGAUUGUCAACCCCCUGGUAAGAGAUUUCGGUGACAAAACCAUCUGGUUUUGAUAUGGUCACUUUCACUAUACCAUUUCCCAUCACCACCUGCAUUUGCCAUAUUCAUAUAUUGACAAUAACAUAUAGAUGAAGCUAUGUAUAAGAGACAGGGAUAUUACAUGGCUUUCUUGGACAUCCAACUGAACAGAAUCUUGGUUUGACAUCACUUUCUCUCGAUAUUUUUCUUUCUUAUGUGUGUUUUCAGAGAUAUGAUGUUGAAGCUUUUGUAGAAAAACAAUCUGUGGAUAGGUUUGAUUCAUCUUCAAUUUGUCGAGAACUUUUGAUUCUUCUUCAAGAUUGGACAAGUGGUAUCUUUAAGCUUUGAGCUUCUUUUUAAUUUACUUUUUGGGUAAUUAAGUACUGUAUAUCCAACAUAUUAUUCCAUUUGUUGGUGAAUUCUCACGCAAACAGUUACUUUUGUGUACCCGUAAAUAUUUUCCCGGCAAAGUUUAUUGAAAAAAAAACAGGACAUAUAACAGUGGUCACAAACCGAAUUUUUUUUGUUGUCGUCAACUUAGCUAUUCAUUAGAUUGAAACUUAAGGUACAACAUUCCAUGAUAUUACAAAGUUUAUAUUCCUAAUUCGUGCAUCCUUAGCUAACUUAUCAGCAACACAGUUCAGUUCAACACAGGUCACAAACCGAAUUUAAACCCCUAUAUUACAUAUUGUUGACAAAAGUAAAAAGAAAAUAAAUAUCAAUUAAAAUUGCGUUCAUGUGAAUCCAAUAUUUGAUGCUACCUGUCACUGAAAACACACACUGUAGUAUUAAAAAGAAUAUCCUCAUUUACGACUAACUACCAUCUCACUUGUUUAAUAUAUAAAGGAAAAUUAGAAAUAAAGGAGCUCUACAAAAAAAGUUUGACCAUAUACACUUUUUUUUUUAGAAUGUCACUUUGGACUAAAAUACCCCUACUCUCUAUUUUAAGCAUUUUUUGAAUGAUUUUACCAAAAAAAACAUGUAGAUAUACAAGAUUAUAUGUGAUUUGAAAAAAAAAAUUGAUGAUUUAGUUGAAAAAAAAGUUGAUUUUUUGAUGGAUAAAGUUUCCUCUAAAAUUAUUAGAAUACGUUUUCUAGCGUUCUACGAAUAUCAGAAUUUAUAUUCUAAACUUUUGUACAUGUUCUACAAAAAUCAGAGUUUGUAUUCUAAAUUUUUGUACAUGUUCUACGACUUCAGAAGACCGGAAUACAAUUUCCAAAAAUCCUUAGAACAUGUAUUCUACGCUUUUCUUCAUGUUCUAAUUUUAGUCAGAAAAUUCAUUCUACGAUUUAUAACAUGUUCUAAAAACGUUAGAAAACGUAUAAUUAUUUUAGAAUCCGUUUUCUAAUAUAAUAUAGAUUUCAAUUUCUGAAAAGUUUUAGAAUUCCUAAAUAUAGAAAGUGAAUCUUUCAAAAAGGAAACUGAAUAUUUAUUAAAUAUUACGUUUUUAUUGUUUAGAUUACGAUCUGAGGAUGGUUAGAAUACGUAUUCUAAUAUUCUCAGAUGAAAAAAAAAAUUGAAAACGAAAAUCUAGAGGGUGAAAUCGUUUUUUAGCCCUAAUCGUCAAAGUCUUCUUCUUUCACCUCUUCCUUUUAAGUCCACGUUGAAAGGUUAGACUAAUUUGGUAGAUUUGUCGUUGUUUUUCCCCGUUCUGUGCCACGUUUUGUCAUUUGGUAUAUACUCAUAUGCUGAUGAUGUGUAUACAACUGCCACUUGGAGAUCAUUAUAUGAGGAAACUAUUAAUCCAAUAGGUGUUCCUGAAGAUGAAUGGCGCGUCCCAGAGGUUGUUGAAUCUGCAAAAGUUUUACCACCUGAAACAAGAAGACAACCUGGUAGACGAAGAAAACGAAGAUAUAAAUCAGCUGAAGACAAGAUAAAAGCAUCACAAGAGUCACAAUUAUCAAAAAAGCAUAAGUGCGGUCGUUGUGGUAAAGAAGGCCAUAAUCGAGUAACAUGUGAUGUAGCAAUAUAAGGUUUGCGAUCGUGAUCUGACUACUAGUUUAAAACUUAAGUAUAGAUUCCCUACUUUUAUAUUUUGUUUUGAUAAUUGUUUUCUUUAUCUUUUUCAGGAUUAUGUUGCAACUGCUCUCAUUGAACGUUUCUAGUUACCACUAUAUGGAUUUUGAACUUCUUUCUCAUUUCAUGAUUAUUUUCGCAUUUUUUAUUUCAGAUUUGAAUUUCCUAGUACUCUAUAUUUGAAUUUUUGUUCUCAUAAUUGGAAUCCCUACUACUCUUAUGUUCGUGGUUUUUCUUUGAGUUUCGGAUUGACUUAUCACUAAAUUAAGUGUAUAUACAGCAUAAGUUCCAAGACCAAUUUAACAUAAUUUAAAAAGAAACGUAAGAACCAUAAUCUCAACCUACCAAGUAGGAAUUUUCAUUUAGUUUAUUGUUUAUCGAUGAGGGAAGUUGAUAUGUUGUGUUUUUAUCGGUUUUGAGUCUUUGUUUUCUUUCCUACAUCAUAUGUUUUAUAGAGUCAAAGUGUGUUUUUAGAGUAUUUUAGUCUUUUAUCGAGUCUUUACAGGUUUUAGAUUGCUUUGGAGGAAAACGAGCUGUUUUGGGUUAUAAACACACUUUUGGAGAUGCAGUUUCGUUUAGAAGUGUCAUACGUUUGGUCUCAGAUGGAAUACUUCACACCGUUAGAUCUUUCUGAAUUUUUGACACAAGCUAGAUGAAGAUGUUAGCUUGAUUUUCCAAGUGGUUUGAAGGAAAUCUAACUGUGCAUUCAAGAGUUAUACCCAAAUUAGUGAAAGACAGAUCAAUCUGGCGAAAGAAUGAGGGUAUCUGAAUUAUGUAAAUAAAAUAGAAAAUAAUUUUUUAAAAAUUGUUUUAAUUAUAUUUUCGAAAAUAUGAAGGUAAAUUUGGGUUUUGAUUUUUAAAAAACCUAUUUCACCAAACUUUUUAUAUAAAAGUAUAUAUGGACAUUUAUCCAUUAAAACAUCUUUUAUUUCUAAUUUUCCCAAUAUAUAAUCCAUGUAUGUAUUAAAAAAAAAAAGUAAUUGUAUCCAUAUUUAUGAAAGUACUUAAAGAGAGUAUACAUUGGUUAAAGUAGAUAGUUAGAUACAUUGACUUCAUUUGUAGUCAGAAUCUAGUGAAUUACGUUAGUAAUGGAAUGUAUUAAUUUACAAGCAACUCCUAAAGCUUGGCGUUACGUCAUUCAUUCCUUAUAUUGUUUUCUGAUGCAGCAUGAAAUGGAUGAGUGGGAGAGAAUGAGUGACAACAAGUCAAAAGACAAAAGGUACACCUUUCGUCCACUUUGCUCUUUCUACCAUAAACACACACUUGGCUCUCUUUUACAACCUGUUUCUUCUGUCUUCUUAUAGUUCUUGCAAAGACAAAACCUAUUCUUUCACCUUGCAACAAAAUCACUGCUGCAUUCACCAUUUACAUUAGUUUGAAUAAUGGGAUGAUGUACUCAACCCCAAAAAAAGCUCACACAAGUACAUUUGGAAGCAUCGCCUAAGUUGCAUUGGCAGAUCAACUGGUCUUGAAAUCUAGCAAUACAACAAGCUGAAAAAACUUCUAACCUUUUUAGGAAUUACCAUUACGUUGGUUCUUCACAAAAUCACCAUUUUUCUUUACCUCCAUGAGAGUCACCUCGCACAUCUAGACCAUCGAUGAGAAGGGAAUAUAACCAAACACCUCCCCACUCCCCAUUUUUAUUUAUUAGGAAACCUAGUGUAAGAUACAAAUUCUUGGCUACCAUGACCAAGGUGUAAAUGAUUUUAUAUGAUUUCGAGAAUCGGCUUGGACUAGUUAUAAUACAAAUAAAAAAGUUAUCUGUGCAACAUCUGGAAAAGUCAUGAAUGAACUUAAUCGACUUACUUCUAUACCUAACUUCUGAAGGAUCAGAUUUCAUGGGGUAACUAAAACAGUAAAACCAAGACGCGAGCACAGCUUUAAUAGCUGUGAGCUACAUACAGGUAGACCUUCCUUAUUGGAUGGGGGUUAGUGGGGAACAGAUCUCUAAUUUUGAAAAGUUUUUGGCAGCUUGGGAACCCUACGCAGCAAGAGAAUAAAUAUCUAGAGGUACACAAGAAACUAACCCUGCUGCAGAAUGAGAACACAAAAUUACGCCAUGCUAGCAUCUAACAUAUAGGAUAGUUUGUAAAAGGGUAGUGUGGUAAGUUGAACUAGCUAUUUUCCUUAAUUGAGCAUAAUACUUCUUACAAACUUAGAGAUUGGUGGGUAUUGGUGCAAACAAAAACUCCCUUCUCACAAAUGGUCUAGACAUGAGAGACAACUCAAGUACACCUGUCAGUCUUCAAACGGUGAUACUCAGCUGGACUGUCAGAACCUUAUCUCUGUCAACUGUAGCAGUUUUCCACUGCAUUAACAAAGGCAGAUGAAUUUUCAGAUUCAUAUUCAUAUUAAAAACAACGAACAGCCUACAACUACAAAGAUAUGCAGAUAUAAACCUGAAAUUUAUGCAUUGCUAGUUUAUGCAACAGCAAAGUACUCUUUUUGAUUUGAGACAAAAUUGACUUGCAUUCAAUCAAUAAAAAAAUUCUUAAUUUCCCCAAAGUAAAACAAGUUUUCUUCACUUUCUCUUCUUUGAAAACAUUGUGCAGAUGCAUUUUUGUACAUUUAGAGACUGUGAACACAAAUGAAACUAUCAUAUAACUGCUCUCUAAAAGGGGCAUAUUCUCCUAUCAUAUAGUUUUUUGAAAAGUCUUGUUUGACAAAGAAUCAAAGUUGAAUGACAAGGAACUAAAGAUCACGCUUAAAUUCUCAGAAGUUUCUAAAUAGAUCAUCUCCAUAUCGAGAGCCAAUAGUGAAUGUUUAACAAAACAGGUCAUGUUAAACAAAAAAAGACCAUACUCAGACAAACUUCAAAACUCUUUAGUGUUAAUUUGCCGAAGAAAAAGAAAGAACAAACAUGAUUUGCUACAUUCCAUAUAAAUUGGGUAUAGACGUUCCAGGAGUUCCUUUUUACCUUAGAGUAGGUUCCAGUAACAAUUUAAUGAUGCUUUCAAACUUUUUUAGAAGUAUAACUAAAGAAGGUGCAAGAAAAUGGUAUUAUUUGGUUUUAUCUUAUGCUCAUAACUAUUACAACAUUCUUAAGUAAAAGGAAUAUAGACUAACUAAGUAACAAUCAACAAAUGACAAUCACAAUCCCUCUAGAAUAAAAAGGAUCAUAAGAUAAUGUAUAUGUAUACAAUAUACAUUAUUAUGUGAUUUUCAUCUUAAGAAAAGAAAAAAAACUAUACCCAAAAACAACACAAAAAGAAGUGUGAUCCAAACAAUUAAAAAGCAAAUGCAUCAAACACAAAUAAAGAAGAUGAGAAACCAAACCUGAAAACAUGAGAGAGAGAUCCACUUAAAGAUUGAGAAAGCAGCUCUCACCAAUCUGCACAUGCAAAACCAAAUGUUGAUACAUUACUAUUCCAUACAUAGAUUAGUAAAAUUGGAUCCUCAAACCGCAAGAGAAAUCUAAAGGAUAUCACAAAAACAAAAAAAAAAAAAAAUGUAAUAUCUGUAAAAUCAAAUCAAAUUGCAGGUUAAGAGAAGAGAUACACGGAAUCAGACUAACCGAGGAGCUAAUAGAAACGCGUCAGCUCAAGAAUUUCGAAAAUGGCGUCACGAGAUCCCACUGAAAUUCGAGAGAAAACAGUCGGAAAAAGCCGGCAUGUGAGGCCGAUUAAGAAGAAGAUGUACGCUAGGGCAAGGGAGAGUGAAAGCGAAAUGGAGGAGAGAGCAAGUGAGGAGGAUUAAGUGAGGAUGCGAGAGGGUUUUAUAUAAGUAAUGUAAGCGAAGAAUGAGACUAAUUUAUAACUUAAGUAUCGAUUAGUGCGUUAAUCAGAUUUCAUUAGAUUAUAUAAUUUGAAUUGGGGACAUGUGCGUGCGGGCUUCCAUUUCUCGCAUAGAGCCGCUGUUGAAGCCGCUCAUGCGAAAAUACUAGUUUUAAACAAAAUUAACUCUUCCUACCAACAUUAGUUCUUUCUGUUUUUUUUUGCCGGUAAUUAACUCUUGUUCUCUAUGCAAUGAAUUGAGUUUGUUAUUUUUGUUGAAUACUAAGUUUAGUUGUCAUAAAGUGAAAAUACUCUUUUUUUAAAUACGUAAUAUAUUUUUUUUUUUUUGUCGUCUAGAUUUAUUAUUAAUUGCAAAUUAUGAGAACUGUUACAUAGACGAUUCUACAACUGAUAAUUCCUUCCGACCCUUACUAGAUUCACGACAGACUACACUUCAUUCUUCGUAAUCUUGAUAAAUACCUUCAAUGAUCCACGACCUGGCGACACUUCCUUCUCUGCGUAGAAUUCUGGCGAACGGCUAUAAUUGUACAUUGCUGGAGAUCUGUUGCACACUUGCCUCCAUUAAUCUGCAAAUUUAUUAAUAAAUCGCAAUACCUAGGACUCGAACCCCAGACCUUUUGGUGUAGAAGCAUUAAUCAACUCUUGGUCAACCAAUGUGCCAAGAGGGCUUCCACCGUAAUAUUCUUUUAUACUCGAAUGAAUAUAUCAAAAUUAAUCUUUUUUUAUCUCGUGAAAGAUAUUGAUUCCAUCUUUCUAAAAUUUCCACUUCGUAAAAAAAACCCAAAAAUAAAAAAAUAUAUAUUUAUUUAAAAAUGAUUUAUAGAUAUUUUCUAUAGAAUUUAUUAUGGGUUGAAUUUGUUCAUUAUAAAAAAUUCAGAUUAAGGUUGAUUUGUCAAUAAAUAUUAUACAUGUGAUUCUACCACUAAAAACAAAUGAAAAUGGAUCAUUUUGAUAAAACUAAUCAGCAGAGUUACAUGUAUUAAGUAUUGCCACUUUGCAAAAUUAACUUUUGAGAAAUCCACUAUGGAAGAGCAAAGAAGAGGAAGAAGAAGGGUAUGUCGGUCAAGCUGAAGAAAGGCAAGCCGCCGUUAGCUGAACAGUGGAUUUCUAGUAGUAUAAUUUUCUCUUCAUUUUUUUAUGUGAACCUAAAUCUUAGACAAAGAAAAAUGUUUAAAAGAAAACAGAAAAGAAAAGAGAAGAAGAGAAGAGUCGCGAAGGAUGAAGAAAAAGAGGAAUAGACACAUGUCCAGCUUCCCAAAUGGACCAAUCAAAGUUAAGCUUUUAAUUACUUGUCUCCUUGAAUGAAUACAAAUGUGUCACGUUUCUUUUCUAGCUCCUUCUGGAUCUGUCAGCCUCGGCAUUUUACAUUUUUUAUACUUUAUUGAUACCUAUUAAUUACUUAUUCCAUAAAUCUAUAUACAGAUUUCGCUGGUUAUUAUUCUUUGAAGGAAGGACCACACGGAUCAUCGCUCUCAUAGGUCACAUUUUGGCUUGUCCAGUUUUUUGUUUUCUUUCUUUUGAUUAAAUAAGAAUUUUCUUCGAGAUUUUUAAGAAUUAUUUAAACUUUAAGAGGUUCUAGAACGAUAGAUUUUAAUAAUAUUAUUGCUUUAUAUAUAUUUAAAUAGUGUAGUUGAGUUGAACUAAUUGACGUAAAAAUGUUUAACGGAAAUGUUAACAAUGAUCAGUACGUAGUAAAACUAAACACGUUGCACAUACGUUUAGACGUGAAUCUGAAAACUCAAUUCAAGAGGUUAUAUAUGUUAAAUAUGUCUCAUGUAAGGUUAAUAAUCCAAAAUUCUCAGUUUAAUUAUAUAAAUAGUCGUUGGAGAUGUUUUCUGCAUUGAAAGUCCUUACACUUACAUCUUGGUCGUGUUUAAAAUUCAUAUAGGAAAUUAUUCAUUAAAUGAUCGAAACGUUGAUGUGCACAAAAUAAAGGUUAAAGGCUGAUAUUUGGUUAGAAGAAAAAGAAGUGGCUACUGUUUCAAAAUCUACAUAUACAUUUUUACAGGGGAUUUUUGCAAAAAGUCUUUUGGAUCCGGGUUUUAUCCGGGAUUAACUAUAUUCGGAUCUAGGAUAAGGAUUUUUAGGAAUGUUGUCUUAAAACCACAUUAAUUCUUAAUUAACACCUAAAUUGGAAAUAUAUAUAAUAUAUCUAAACUAACCAUAUUUGUUAAUUACCUUAACUACUUCUAACAAUAAUUAUUUAACUAUUUAUUUCUAUAUAGAAAGAAUAUGUGAUUAAAAUAAAUAUUUUGUAAAAUAUUGAUUUGGGAAAAAAUUGUUCUUACGAAAAUAAUUUGUUUUGUUAUAAAAAUUAAUAUUUGUUAUUUGUAAUUAAAUUACAUAAAUAAUAAUAAUAAUUUGUCUACACCAUCAAAUGAAAAUAGUUAGUUAUUUAAUUUUUUUUAUUUAAUAUUACGUACUUUAAAAAAAUAAAUUCAACAAUAUAAUGUCAAUGGGUUUAAUUCUUAAGAUUUGAAAAUAUUAAAAAAGAUACUAACCAAAAAUUAUCUAUCCUAAUUUGUUUCUAACAAUUUGGACACAAAUAUUUCAAAUCUUUCGAAAAUUUAAUGUGAUCACAUUUGUUACUAAAAUCUCGAUUAUAUUCCUAAAAUCUCGAGAAGAUCUUCCUUUAAAUCCGCAAAUUAUAAUUUUUGAAUUAAAUAAACUAACAAUACGAAUAUUCCUAAUAUAUUCGAGUACUAAUAAUCCUUAUUAUAGUAUAUUCCUUAUCUAAAUACUAAAUCUUUUAUUUUUAAUUCUAAUCAAAAUUUAUGAAAUCGGAAAUCAAUCAUGAUUUCUUAAACAUCCUUAAAUUUCGAAAUAAUCAACAAUUCGAAUAUGCUGAAAAAUCAUAACGAAAUAUCUUUACUUACUUAAAUGUUUUAGUAAUCGUUAUAGCAAAAAAAUCAAUUCCAGCGCUACUGGUUCUUUAAACUUUUUUAUUUACAUAGAUAUUUUGUAUUCCAUAAUUAACUCAUUAAAAUCUUUGGUUUAAAUAACUACAAUGUGAAAAUUAGUAUAUGUAAUAAAUAUAACAUAUAAUAUUUACGAGAUUUUCAUAUACUUGAUCCCCAAUCCAAAUUGGCGAAUAUAUUAUUUCUCAUAAAAUAUCUUUAAAAGAUUUUUUUGUUUCGUUUAGAUAUUAUUCAACAAACUUCCUAAAACAAAUGGAAAUAUCUUUAAUUAGCUUUCCUCAUUCAUAAAUCCCACCAUGCAUAUAGACGUUAUUCAGUUGAUAAUACAAAAUCGAAUAUAUUAGGAAUCAAAUAUAAAAUUUUCGAAUAUUUGCAAAAUUGUUUUAAUUUGUAGGUCAAACCUAAACUUCUCGAGUACUUUUCAUUCAUCUAUAUAAAGAAGAUCUUUUCAACCAUUGAUCCACAAUACUAAACGUUUUCGUAAUAGAGAUUUAUAUGGCUUCUUUUAAACAAUGUUCUUAGUACAUUUUAUAUUUCACGUUUGUUUUUUUUUUUUAAAUUAACUGUCACCUACUUUUCUUAUGUUGCAGCUUUCGAUUUUAAGAUCUUGGAAACUAUGGACAUCAUCAUCUCCGUCUCCAAAGAAACUAUCAAAUAAGGUAUGCAUUAAAAGGUUAGUUAGUCCUUCUUCUUAUCUUCAGAUACAAAUUUUUUAAUGUCCAGUAUUUUUUUACAUUUUCAGAAUUUCAUGUUUCCUCAUAAUGAUUGUAAAUGAUUUUCUUUUAUAGGCUAACAUAACAAGUCCAUUCUAUUAAUUCAUUUUCUUUAACGAAAAAAGGAAACGAAUUUGUUAAUAAAAUAAAGUUCUUAUUCUUAAUUUUCAUUAUUCUAAUGUUAUGUAUUUUAAUUGUUUUUAUGAUAUAUACUUUUACAAAAACCUGUGGAUCCGUGUUUUGGUUGGUAAGUGUAAUUUUUCUAAUCUUUUAAAACCUUUUAUAACAAUUACAUGUUUUAUAUGGUUAAAAAUCACAUCAUAUAUAUUUUAUUUUCUUAUCCAAUGUAUUUCAUGUUUAAUGUUUUCUAAUACUUUUUUUAUGUAUAUUUUGGUUUUGACUAAUUUUAUAUAUAAGUUCUUAAUUUAAUCUAUUAAAGUUUCCAAAGAAAACAUUUUAAAUAUAAGUUCUUAAUUUAAUCUAUUAAACUUUAUUAAAAGUAAAAUAUUAUAUUUAUUUAAACUUUUUAAAAAGUUUAAUUUUAUAAAACGUUGUAAAUAUUUAUAAUAUUAGGAAUUUUAUAAAGUUUCAAAUAUUAAAUAGUUGAAUUUAAUAAUAAUUUAUAAGAAAUUUAAACAUUAUAAAUAUUUACAAAAGAUACGGGACGAUAUAUUACGGGUGAAAUCCUAGAUAUAACAAUCAAAAUACUAUUAUGAAUUUUGGGUCGAUAUUAAAUGAAGUUUCAAAUAUUAGAAAUCUUUGAAUUUUAUUGGAAAAUGACAAAAUGAUGUAGAUUGGACGGGACAGAGUUAUAUGGUCGCGGACGAGUUUGUGGUCGAUAUUAAUACAGUAUGAUAUACUACGGGUAAAAUCCUAUAAUUAACAAUCAAAAUAUAACUAUACAAUCUUAAACACUAAACAAAACUAAACAAAUAAUAUUAACAAAACAAAUAAAACUUCAAAUUUUAAAUCUUUUGUUAUAAAUAUCGUCAUACAGUGUACCAUACAUUUAAAUCAAAUAAAACAAUAGCAUAUAUCUAUAGAUCAUCUUUAAAAAAAAAAAUUUAUUAUUAUUUAAUAAAAUUAUAGACCCGCGGUGUACCGCGGGUUAAUAUCUAGUGACAAUAUAUAGUUUGAUCAUCAUCUAGUUUGAUGUAUUUAAUUUAGAUCAUGUAAGGAAUCUCUUCGUGUCUCUUCGUGAACAUAAGCUAAGACCAUUCGGCCAAAUUAAAUGAAUAACAAGAAAUUCAUUCUAAAUAUGUAACUCGACUUUACAAAUUUGUUUCCAGUUUGCAUGCUUCUAAUGAUAGUUCUAUUAAACCAAAUCCAUUGCAUGUGGCAACACAAUAAGCAACUUGCCAUAUUAAUUUGUAAAGAAACCUAAUUAGUAAUUGAUGAAAUAGAGCAUUGUUAAUAAUUAAUAAUUUUCAAAAGCAAUAUGGAAACUUUAGUUAAAAGAACAGAUUCAUAGAAAGAUGUGUUGUAACUUGCACUAGUUUAAGCAAUGAAAAUUUCAAACUUUUACUGAUAUCGAAUUUCUUCGUCGUCACUAAAAAAAAUGUAUAAUUAUAUUUAGGUAUAUAAUACUUAGCAUGAAGUACCAAGUUGCAGCUACUUGGUUAUAUGUUUAUGGUAUUAUGGACCAACUUGUACUCGUCUUUUUGCCAUAAACAACUUUAGAUUUGUGAAGUUGGAAGCGCCACGACCACUGUAGGUUUUCAAGCCGUAAAAUAAUAUAUAAAAAUUUGGGAAUAACGAUGAUGGAUGGUGAUCACGAUGAUUGUAUUAUGAUGGUCAUAUUAGUUUUAAUCAGUGGCGGAGGCAGCCAUUAUCUUGGUAGGGGUCAAUUUUUAUAGUAAAACUAAAAAUCUGUUUUGUGUUAUGAAUCUCGUGUAUUCUUAUUGAUUAAUGAAUGAGAUUACAACUUAUAUAUAUACACAAUAAGGGAGACAAAUCUCAAUUGGACUAGGAAACCCUAAAGCCCAAAGCCCACUAAGACUAACAUAAACCGUCAUUGGACGAGUCUUCUAGAAGGUAGACAUGGGCCUUCUAGAACAUGGACAUGAGCCACGGUUAUGGAGUCCAUCCGUUAUGUGGUUUUCAACACUCCCCCUUGGAUGACAUAACCGUGUAGAUGCCAAAGAAUCUUUGUAAUGCGCUUGGGGAUGCUGCCUCAUUAAAACCUUACCAGGAAAACCCAUUGGGACAAAACCACGGUGAAGGAAAAAGAGUACAGCACGCAUUACUCCCCCUGUUUUGGUCAUCCCUGCAAGUCCUUAAGUCUCCGUAUUCCAAUUUCAUGUGUGAGCUUCCUUAAUGGUGUUGUCGGUAGUGCUUUAGUGAAGAGAUCGGCUGAGUUGUUGCUUGAACGAACUUGCACCACUUGAACUUCACCAUCCUUUUGUAGGUCAUGCGUAAAGAAGAACUUAGGUAGAAUGUGCUUUGUCCGAUCUCCCUUGAUGUAGCCGUCCUUGAGCUGAGCGAUACAUGGCUACGUUGUCUUCACAUAUGAUGGUCUUUGAUGUUGUAGUAGCUGCGCCUUGAAGAAGGCUGCCUACGUACCCUUGGAAGGGAUCAAGCCACACGUAGUUCCUAUUUAUUGACCAUGCCAUAAUCUGAUCUUACCUGCAUCAACAAAACAAACUAAACCAAGGCAAACUAGACCUUUUUUUUUUGGUUAGAUCAGUAUAGAAUAAACCCAAAUAAACAAAGUAGGAAGAAUAAACUUUAAAAUUUAACCAAACCUUCCUUCAAACCUUUCCAGUGCCUUUGGGUUGAUCAUGAACUAAAUUUAGACAAAGGAGGUUCACGGCAAAACAUAUAUCUGGUCUAGUGUGGCUAGUCAAGUACAUUAACGUUCCUAUGGCACUGAGGUAUGACAGUUCAGGACCGAGAACUUCUUCCUCGUCCUUCUUUGGACCGAAUGGAUCACUAUCCAAUCCAAGGCUUCUCACCACCAUUGGGCCUGGUCAAUGGGCGGGCCUGGUCCUUAUUAAAUAUCCUUGAGUACUUUUUAGUAUAUGCCUUUUGAUGCACAAGGAUUCCAUUAUUCAUGUACUCAGGUUGUAAUCUCAAACAGAACUUAAUUAUUGCCUAGGUCUUUCUUUUAGAUAUACUCAACUGUUUGGUCGAUUACCCAGAGGUUUAAAUUAUUCAUAUACACUGCUAUGAUUACAAAUCCUUUGUUUGCAAACCUCUUUAUGAAAAUACAUGGACUAAUGGGAUCAUUUAUAACAUUCCAUACGCCCAUUUGGUCUAAGUCCAUGAAAGAAUUUGUCCAGCCUUAUGCAGUGAUAUUCUCGAGAAUCUUUCUUAUCUUUGAGCUCAAUACCCUCUGGUAAUCUCAUAUAUAUUAUCCAGUGGACUUAUAUAAAUAUGCAGGCAUUACAUCCAUUAGCCGCAAAUCAAAUCUUUUCCUUUAUAUAGCCAGACUUAGCAUCCACCACAGGGGAGUAUGUUUCUUCAUAAUCUAUCCCCGGUCUUUGUGAGAAUCCUUGUGCUAUAAGCCGUGCCUUAUAUCUCACGAUUUCAUUAUUCUCAUUUCUUUUCUUCACAAAGACCCAUUUGUGUCCUACUGGUUUUUACAUCGAAUGGUGUCCUUAAGGUCGGACCAAACUCAUUCCUUUUCUUAAUGAUUCUUAGCUCCACGUUGUAUGGUCUUGUACCAUUUAAUCAAUCAAGUCUUUGAGUGCACUCUAGUAUAGACGUGGGCUCCUGAUCCUCAUUUAUAUUCAUAAAUUCAAGUGCUACCUUGCAUGCAAAAUCAUCUUAUGUCGACAUUUCUUAUAUGUUCCAUUAUGUUCCAGACAUGAUAUAAUCGAUUUGAGAUUUAUUAUGGUCAGGACCUUUAAUACUUUGCAGCUUGGCGUCCCAAGCUACAUUAUAUGGUACCUGUAUCUUAGAGCCGGCCGGCCUUAUCUCCAUGUCUGGGAUGGUUUCCUUAGUAACCUCGGAUUCCUAUUGCACCUUUCUUUGAUUUUCGAGGAUUUUUAUCUUUGGAACCUAUUGGUCUACCACGUUUCUUUCGUGUGUUAGACUCGGUAGCAAUUUCAUUGAUUCCCUUUUGGAUAUCAAUACGUACUGGUGCAUUACAAGCUGGUAUGUACGUUUUUGUAACUUUCUUUGGGUCAGCAAAGGAAUCUGGCAAUUGAUUAGCUAGCUUUUCAAAUGUAUAAUCUUAUGGACCUCUGAUUCUCAUGCCAGAGUCUGAGGAUCUUGCCAAUUUAAGGAUGUUUGAUUCCAUUAUAUUUCUUUUAUUGCUUUACCCAGCUUGUUCGUCUCUCCACCUAUAGUAGGAAAUUCGGAUUCAUUCAAAUGACAAUCUGCGUAUCUAGCCUUAAAUAGAUCACCCGUAGUUGGCUCUAGAUACUUAAUAAUGGUGGGAGAAUCAAAUCCAACAUAUAUUCCCAUCCUCCUUUGAGGUCCCAUCUUUGUUCUAUGUGGUGGAGCAAUCGGUACAUAUACGGCACACCCGAAAGUCUUUAGAUGGGAUAUGUCUGGCUCAUGACCCAUGAGUAAUUGGGAUGGUGAAUAUUUAUGUUCACUAGAUGGCCUUAUGCGUAUAAGCUCUGAUGCAUGUAAAACAGUGUGUCCCCAAGCGGCUACUGGAAGCUUCGACCUCAUGAGUAAUGGUCGAACGAUCAACUGAAUUCGUUUAAUGAAGGAUUCCGCUAAUCCAUUCUGUGUAUGUACAUAUGCUACGGGAUGUUCCACACUUACCCCCAUGGACAUACAGUAGUCAUUAAACGCUUGGGACGUGAAUUCACCGGCAUUGUCUAGACGUAUAGUCUUAAGCGGAAAAUCUGGAAAGUGGGCUCGCAGUCUUAUUAUCUGGGCCAAUAACCUAGCAAACACUUGGUUUCUAGUAGAUAGGAGACAAACAUGCGACCAUCUUGUCGAUGCAUCAAUGAGGACCAUACAUAUAUCUCCUUGUAUCCUUUCCAGAAAUUUUAAGGUCUCUUUAUUUACCUUAGCCGGUGAUGGCCUUAUAAUGAGUUUCCCUUGUGAACAUGCUUCACACGUGAGAUUCUUAGAGAUAACUCUUUUCUCUUUUAGGGUGUGCCCCUUUGAAUUUAUCAUAAGCUUACGCAUCAUACUAUGACCCGGAUGGCCAAGCCGGUCAUGCCAUAAAGUAAAUUUCUCGAUGAACUCUUUGUUCAUUGCCAUAUUAGCUUCGAUCAUAUCGAUUUUAACAUAGUAGAGACCAGUGGAUAAUGCGGGUAUAGUCUCUAGGACUUUCUUAUGUCCUUGGGUGAUCUCUUUGUUCCCUUCACCCUUUGUUUCAAUAUGGAAACUAUUCAAUCUUAUAUCUUUGAAACUUAAUAAGCUCCUCUUCGAGCUGGGUGAAUAUAGGGCAUCGCUUAGUUCAAGAUGCGUGCCAUUUGGUAAUAGAAUAUGGGCUUGGCCGUAGCCCUCAAUAAGAUUUGCUAUACCCGCUAUAGUCCUAAUAUUGGCAUUUUUUCAUUAUGAGAUUUAGGAAAAUAUCUCUUAUCUUUUGUGUGGCUCCACUAUCCACCACAAAUAUGUUCUUGUCCUCGGCCAUUUCUUAUAUGGACAAGAAUCAUGUUUUAAACAUAAAAUAAUAUAAAAUAAAUUCAAGGAAAUAACAAUCAAUGAAAACAUAAAAUGCAAAGAAAACAUAGAGGUUUUGAUGUCGAACUCAGAUUUAUCAACUUGAUUCUUUUAGGCAAUCAGAAGUCUCAUACUCUAUUAGAUCAUCUUGAUCAUGUUCACCAUCUUUAUAUACCAAAUGGGCUUUAGGAUUCUUCCCUUUUACACUCUCUUGAUAGAGGUCACAACGAUGUUUGGAAGUCCUACAUAUCUUAGCCCAAUGGUUUCCCAUUCCAUAUCUAUGGCAUACUCAUUUGGUCGAGUGUUGUGGUUUGGAAAUACCACAUCGUCCUCGCCCUCGACCACGGCCGGAAUUGGGUCUACAUCCACGGUUAAAGUGGUUCCCACGGCCGGAUGAGUUAUAGUGGCCACAACCACGUCCUUUCAAUACCACAUCUAUGGCAUACUCAUUUGGUCGAGUGUUGUGGUUUGGAAAUACCACAUCAUCCUCGCCCUCGACCACGGCCGGAAUUGGGUCUACAUCCACGGUUAUAGUGGUUCCCACGGCCGGAUGAGUUAUAGUGGCCACAACCACGUCCUUUCCAUCCACCACGGUCACGACCGUGUGGUCUAUCACUUUAGACAUGGUUAUAUUCUUUGGAUUCUUUCUUAUCCUCUGCGGCCUUAUUGGCAUUAGGUAAUGGGGUUAAUCUAUGAGGUCGUAACUCACUGUUUUUAUCUGUAAGUCAUUAUUUUGCUCAUCUAGCAAUAGACUCAUCCAUGGACUUAUAGUCCUGAUUAUGAGACUCUCAAUAAGACGGUGGCUAAUAUUGCCUUGUAUCUAUCUUUCUCUCUUUGCAUUAUUGCCUUAUUAGAUACAUUCACCAAGUCCUUUUGACUUUUAGGAUAAUCUUAGUAUCCAUUGCCCAUUUUAAAUAAUUAUCUCCUAAGAGAUUUAGGGCAGUAAAAUACAAGUUGUAAUUCAACAUCUACAAGGAAAAGUCUUGAGUCAAAAUCAUGUAAUCGUUAGUGUCAUGCGGUAUUUGAGACCGAACCAUGAAUCGAUUUACUUAGGGAUUUGACUUUCCUCUUUUGCUUAGGAUUAGAUUUCCUCUUUUGCUUAGGAUUAGAUUUCCUCUUUUAAUUAGGAUUAACUUUUUCUUUUCCUUUUAGGAUUUACUUUCCUCUUUACUCUAGGAUUAAUUUUUCUAUUUCACUUAUGAUUUUAGAUUUUAAGAUUUUCUAUUUUAUUUAGGAUUUGAAAAAUUUCUAUUUCUUAAGGUUUUCCUAUCUUGAAUAGGAUUUAUGAAAUUCCUAAUUUAAUUAAGAUUUAUAGAUUUUCUAUUUUGAAUAGAAUUAAGGAUUUUCCUAUUUACAAUAGGAUUUAAGAUUUUCCUAUUUUAAUUAGAAUUUUAGGGUUUUAAGAUUUCCUAUUAGGAUUUUAGGGUUUUAAGAUUUCCUAUUAGGAUUUUAGGGUUUUAAGAUUUCCUAUUUUAAUUAGGAUUUUAGGGUUUUAAGAUUUCCUAUUUUGAUUAGGAUUUUAGGGUUUAGGGAUUCAUGCGGUUUUAGGAAUUUGGAUUUCUAACAAUUUGAGCAUGAAGCAAUCAUAGAAACAAACAAACUAAACAACCUAACAACCUUAACCAAUCGAUUUAUACUUUAGGGUUUAAGUUUCGGAUUUGAUCCGAUUUAGGGUUUUAGGUUUUAGACUUAUAAAGUUUCGGCCAUUAGCUUAGGUAUUUUCGAUUUGCGAUUUUUAGGUUUAGGCAAUAAAACUUCUCUAGCAACUUAGGCGAGUUUAGCUUAAGCAAUAAUCAACUUUUCUAGCAACCUAAACGAGUCAAACAAUCGGAUCUCACAAGCAAUAGCAAUCGCUUAGACAAUCAAGGUUCGUUUUAGGUCUUAGCCGUUUGUUAGAUCCAAAUUCGAGUUGGGUUCUUUAGCUUUAGGGUUUGUUGUUUUACCUUUCACCUUUGGGGUUGUAUGGACUAGAAACGGGAGCUAAAGACCUCGGUUAUCAACUUGUCACGAGCGUAUGGUCCUUGGAAGGAAUCGCCGAGCAAAGGAGAAAGCAAACGGACGGACGAGCUAGGGUUUUCAAAACAAAUCGGCGCACACUGUAUCUGUGCGUGAGGGCGCGUCGGUGGUCAGAUCGACAAGCCGUUUGCACUGAUGGAUUCGUCUCGGCGAGGGCUUCGAUUUGAUAUCUUGCUCGUUUUCUGGGUCCUCACGAUUUGAGAGAACGACCUCUUUGAAGUUCCGAGACAGAUUUCUUUGCGUUUUAGGGGUUUGAUGGAGAUAGAGAGAUCGUGAGAUUAGGGUUUAUGUGUCAGAUCCUUUAGCUAAGGGAUUUAGAGGCUAUCGUGCUGAUAACGUGUUAUGAAUCUCGUGUAUUCUUAUUGAUUAAUGAAUGAGAUUACAACUUAUAUAUAUACACAAUAAGGGAGACAAAUCCCAAUUGGACUAGGAAACCCUAAAGCCCAAAGCCCACUAAGACUAACAUAAACCGUCAUUGGACGAGUCUUCUAGAAGGUAGACAUGGGCCUUCUAGAACAUGGACAUGAGCCACGGUUAUGGAGUCCAUCCGUUAUGUGGUUUUCAACAUUUUGAACAAUAUUUUAUAGGGGUCAAUAAGCAUAUUUUAAACCAUUUUCCUGAAUUUUGCUUAGAAUAUUACAAGUAAAUUAAAAAUUUCUACAAAUCCAUAGGGGUCAAUUGACCCCCAUAAUAACAAUAUACCUCCGCCCCUGGUUUUAAUUUUGGAAAUCUCAUGUAAACUAUUCAAAUUCUCGUUUAUAAUUUCAUUUAAAAACAUGAACAAAAAUAAUCUGUGAAUUACUUUAUAGAAGACAAUAUUAGAUACGUGAGAUAUCUGUUAAAUGAGAUUUUCUCUUUAUGUUUUAAUACAUUGCAGUAAACUUUAUAUGAUGGACAUAUAUAUUUCCUGGCUAAGCAAAGAUAAUUCUGGAGGUAUGAAAUAAAUGAUUAUUCAUUCAUAAAUUAUGAAAAAGUGUAUCAUACUGAAAAAACCAUUAGAGAUCAACUAGAUUCUAAAUUCUUCAAUCAAAAUAUUAAGAAAUAUAUAUAGUUCCGAUUACGAUAUAUAUAUUCACUUUUACUUGUAAGACUCGGUAAGUUAUAUAAUGAAAGAUUAGAUUCGAGUGUCAAACACAUUAUGCUAAGUUGGUGAGUAUUAUCAGUGCCGGCUCAAGCAUUUAGUAGGCCCUGGGGCAAAAACAAAAACUAGGCCCCUAUUAUAUAUAUAAAAAAAGUAUGUACAAAAAUAAAAUAACAAAAAGAAUAUUUAUACUAGUAUUUUUAUGUCCAUUUGUUAGUACAAGAUGGGAUUAAAUUGUGAUCCGACAAAUUUGAUAUCUUACUGCGAAUAUUCCAUAUAUAACUUAGAUCGGAUUAUAAAAAACCAAACUCUAUCACCAGAUAUUCCAUAUUUAACAAUAUAGAUAUUUAGUAGAUUUGGUUAAGAUUUAAAAUUAUGAUUUUCCUAUCAUCUUUGUUUGAUUUUUUUCAACUGUUUCGAAUCAUCAUAUACUACAUAAUUUACAAUAUUUUUGUUCUGCAUAUAUUGUGAUUCGAAAUUUUUAAAACAUAUAUAUUACCUAAUUUAUAAUCUUUUAUAUAUAAUAAAUAAUCAUUAAAUUUUAAAAUUCACAAAUUUUUAGAAAAUAAAUCGUUUCGCAGUGUACCGCAGAUUAAAAAAAACCAUCGUUUACAAAAGAUAAAACAACAAGAUCAUUUUCGUCGAUGGUUUUGAUGUAAAGCCUUUAUUUAUAAUAGAAAGCAAAAGAGAUUUGGUCCAAUAAAUCAAUUUUUUAGCUAUGUUGGGUAAAAUAAAUCAACAUCUAAUUUUGGACUAUAAAUUAAAAAAAAAAAAAGAAUAUCGUUAUGGUUUGUAAUGUCAAUAUUCAUGGGCCCUUUUUUAUAAUAUAACUCAUGUUUUGUAAUGUCUAUAGGCUCUUUUUAUAAUAUCACUUUUUUUUUCCGAAAUACUUGCACAGAUUUUUGUUUUUUGGUUUUGCAUACAAAGGAGGAAAGGAGGUAUUACUAAAAUCAGUGGCUAUGGCCAUGCCUAUCUUUGCAAUGUCAUGCUUUAAGCUCCCUAAGACCACCUGUGACAAUUUGGCGUCGGCUAUGGCAGAUUUCUGGUGGAGUUCCAGUGAGCAUUCAAGAAAUAUACAUUGGUUAAGUUGGGAGAAAUUGUGUCUUCCAAAAUGCAAAGGUGGUAUGGGCUUUAGAGACAUUCCUCUUUUUAAUCAAGCUUUGCUAGCCAAACAAGCGUGGAGGAUCCUUCAGUAUCCUGAUUGUCUCUUGGCUGGGAUUAUGAAGAGUAGAUACUUUCCGGAGAAGAGUUUUCUGGAAGCUCCUGCCCAUCAUCGACCCUCAUUUGCUUGGAGGAGCAUCUUGCAUGGUAAAGAGCUUCUUGUAAAGGGUAUUGAAAAGAGAAUUGGUAAUGGAAAAUCACGGAAUGUAUGGAUUGAUCCAUGGAUUGAGGAUGAGGAAGAAGGUAUGAGAGCACCGAUGAGAAGAAACUAUUUAUUUGAUGUCAGCUUGAGAGUCUGUGACCUCAUUGAUCCAAGUAUUAGAGACUGGGACCAAAACAUUUUGGCGGAUCUGUUCUUCCCGGAGGAUAUCAUUAGAGUUUUAAAGAUCAAACCGGUUGUUUCCCAAAGUGAUUAUUGGGUGUGGAAGUUCAAUAAAUCUGGUGACUUUUCAGUAAAAUCUGCGUUUUGGUUGGCCUCUCAGGAAAGUUUUUCCAUAGUUGCUGUGGAAGCAAAUGCAUUACCAUCGGUUAAUGAUCUAAAAGCAGAAGUGUGGCAGGUGCAAACUGACCCAAAAAUCAAAGUUUUUUUGUGGAAGAUGCUUUGUGGGGCUAUCCCUGCAGUCCAUGCCUUAAACAGAAGAGGUAUGUCUCUGGAUGAUACUUGUCAGGUUUGUGGAAUGGAACAGGAAACCUCUUUCCAUGUUUUAUUUUCGUGCACGUAUGCUAGACAGGUGUGGGCUCUUUCUCAAGUCCCCAAUCCUCUUUUUGGUUUCCAAUAUGGGUCUGUUUUUUCAAAUAUCCAUCACUUGCUUGUUAACCGUAAGAAUAAAGAAUGGCCGGAGGAAUUAAGGAGAAGUUUCCCAUGGAUUCUAUGGAGAAUUUGGAAGAAUAGGAAUGCAUUAGCUUUUGAUGGUAAAUGUUUUUCUGCCUUGGAAUCUGUUGAUAAGGUUAGAGAGGAUGUUUUUGAUUGGUUUGAGGCUCAGAUUAUUGAGACUGAAGGUGAGGAAAUGGGUGAUGAUCCGGCGAUAUCAAGUGUUCCUCUUGAGGAGGUUUUGGCCAGAGAUAAAUGGCAACCUCCGGUGGUUGGUUGGGUGAAGUGUAAUAUUUCGUCUUCUUGGUCUAAUAAAAACAGGUUGGCAGGAGGGGCAUGGGUUGUUAGGGACCAUACGGGCUGUGUUUUGUUACAUAGUAGGAGAGCUUUCAGUGAUUUGAGAGAUGCUCAAGAGGCUAGCUUUGCUUGCCUUCAGUGGGGUAUACAAUGUAUGUUGACCCACAGAUUUCCAAGAGUAGUUUUUGCUCUUCAAGAUCAUGUUUUGGUUGGUGUGUUAAAUCGACCCAGAGCUUGGCCUUCUUUCAAGUUUCAAGAGCAAGAACUGAGGAUUUUGUUGUAAGGAGGUGUGGUUUGGAAGUUGUGUUUAGAGUCCUCGAGUACGAACAGAGGAGCUUCUCUCAUUGCUCAAAGUGUGACUUCGGACUUUAGGUUGCAAUCCUAUGUCGCUUCUGGUUUCCCCUUUUGGCUGAGGGGUGUCUUUGAAGAUGAGAGAGUUCCUUUUUCCUCUGUUUGAUGGUAAGGAGGGGUUUUUUGUUUGAUGUUGGUUGGGUUGCCUAAUUCUUUUGUAUUGGCCCUUGAUUGUUUUCAAUGGUGCUUAGUUUAGGCUUUUUGUGGCUCAGUUGUUUGUUCUGAUGGUUGACCUUUAUGGUCUCUUGGGUGUAGCUCGGCCUUAACCCAUUUCAAUAUAUAAAACCAGAUGACAAAAAAAAAAAGUUUUGCAUACAAAGGAAAAAAAAAAAUUGUGGGCCCCUUGGGUUUGUGGGCCCCUAGGACUUGCACUGCUCACCCCCAUGUUAAGCCGGCACUGAGUAUUAUUAUUUCACAAUAAGGAAUAAUAAAAUGUCAAAUUCAGUAUCAUUUUAAAUUCUAUAUCAGGGUUGACGAAUCAUAAUAUUCAGGCCUAAGUUAAUAAUACAA
rnacentral:lncRNA from 1 species